rnacentral:lncRNA from 1 species
AUUUGUUGGGCCAUUUUGUAACGAAAGAGAAGUGGAUUAGAGGUUGAGAAGAAGUGGCUUACCUUGUCUUUGGUGCUACCAUGAGCUUUGACCACUUUCUUAAGCAGUGUUUGGCACUCAAAUUCAUCCAAAAGAUCUUCGGCAUCGGAGAAGACAGUUUUAAGCUGAGUGAGCCAUUCGCGCAGCUGAUGAUUGUGCUCCUGCUUUUGCUGAGCAUCUAGCAGCACAGCCUUGACUAAAGAGAGAGUCUUUGUAAGGUCUCCAAGAUUGUCAUAUAAACCCACCAAUUGAGAAGCUUCUUGAAAAGCAUGAGAAGCAAGCUUUGCUAUGAGUGACUCUGCAAUGCUGAAGAGAAAUGAUUCGGCCAUAGUUGUCUUGAAUGCAAACAGCAGAGGAGAGGAUAAGAUGGGAAGGCCAAAGAGUGUUUCUAAGUCAACUUGGUUGUUGGCAAAGUGUUUCCAAAUGGAUUCCAGAACUACUCAAUAACCAAUGCCACUUGCUACCAUUUUUUACAUAAAAUAUUGAAAGAGGAAGACUACGGAGUGUUUUUUUUUUAAUCGUCAAAAAAGAAGACUACGAAGUAUUUUUUUUGUUUUAAUCGUAAAAAAGAAAACUAUGAAGUAUUAAAUAUUUUUCUUCCGCGUCACAACAUGUCCAAUGGAUUCCCGAACUGCUCAAUAAACCAACAUCCCACUUGCUACCAUCUUUUUUACAUAAAAUAUUGACCGAGUACAUAUAUAUAUAUACAUAUAUAUACAUAUAUACAUAUAUACAUCUUAAGUUAUUUGAUUACAAGUUUAUUAGUUAGUUAAGUGUUUUAUUAUUCUCUUAUAGAAUGAGCUUAUAUUAUUCCUAUUAAUGUAACUUAUAUCAAAUGGUAUUGUAUAAAAGAAACUAAAGAAAUUAAAAAAAAAUUGAAAUUUUUCUUAGGAAUUUUAAUUAAGAAAAAUAGUAAAAUUUCAAAUAUAGUCGAAACAGAAAGAACUUGAUAUUUAUCUCUUUCACACUAUUCUUCAUUCGCACUCACUUGCUCGUUUCAUCUCCUUUGUUCAUCAGCCACUCACUUGCUCAACUCUUUCUUGCUCCUUUAAGUCUCUUCCUUCCAAUGUUGAGGCUCGGUUGGAGGUUACCUGCAAAAGGUACUCCGACGCUCAAGUAAGUGCUCAGAUAAGCGUAUUCUAGUGAAUGAGAAAAAUGUACCUUACUCCUCUAUGAAGAGCUCUAUUUAUAGUAUUGGUUUAUGGGCUUUGACCCUUAUGGGCUGAACAUCAGUUAUUAAUUGACAUGCAUAGUGGUUCUUUUCUUUUUAUCAGCAAAGAAUAAAAUUAAAUUAAAAAAAACACUUUAGGGGUGUCCCAACCCUUAUACAAGAACCAACAAUCAUACAAAGAUCAUAUAUAACCCAAAGAUUACAGUCAUGAUAAGAAUAAGAAUUUGAGUUUCUAUAUUGAUGCACAAUUAUAAAACUGUAUAAUCCCAUAAAGAAGAGUGGAUGGCAGCCUUCAUACGGAGAAGCUACUCCUCUAGUUGCUCCAACAGCAUAGUGGUUCCUUAAUACUAGGAACGUGUAUCUUUUAGUUUUAUCUUUUAUGUUGGAGAUAUUUUUCGUAUAUUUUGGGAUAUAAUUUGACUCAUUCAACGUCAUAAUAACUAUUGUUUCUUGUUUAUUUAUUAUGUACCUUUACGUGUUAUGACUCAGACGGUUGGUCACCGAGGUAGAACUUGACUCAUCUGGUACCUGCCGGUACAUUCAAGAUAUGGUCUUUUUAAAAGGUUAAGCACCCGCUUCUUUUUUAAUUUCUUUUUUUCUGAUUAGAAAAGAGUUGUUUUGUGUGCAUAUCUUAUUUUUAAAAUGUUUUCUCUUUUUAUUCUUCUUUUCUUCUUUCUUUCUCUCUCCUCUUAAAAAUGCUUGAGUCAUCAAGUAAUUUAUAUUAAGUUUUGUGGUAUCAUAUAGGUAGGGUGUGAAUAGUUUUUAAACUCUUGCUAUAAUAUAAAUAAAAUCGAUAUAAAACAAUCUUAAAUAAUAAUUAAUAUUAAAUAUAACAAUCCAUUAUUUCUUCUCAUAUUAUUAUAAUAUCUGAAAUAACAUGAAAUUGGCAUAAAUGGAAAAUUAAUAUUUAAUAUUAAAAAAAAAUAAAAAUCAGACCAGAUACAAAAGGGUAGGGAGAAUUGGUAAAGCAUAAAAAGAACACAUAUGAUCGUAUAAAAGCAGAACAAAUCGGUUGGAAACCACUCACUAGCCUAGAAAUGCUAAUCAAGUGCGGUUAUUUUACAUUUACAAAUGCGGCUAUAGAGCCGCAUUUGAACAACACGCAUUCAUAAAUCAGAGAGAUACAAAUGCGGCUAUACAGCCGCAUUUGUAAAUACUAUUGAUAAGUGCGGUUAUUUCAAAUAGCCGCAUUUGUAUAUUCUUCUGAAUGAGGUGAGGGGGUUUAGGGUUUACAAAUGCGGCUAUUACCAUAGCCGCAUUCGUAAAUGUGAUUUACAAAUGCGGCUUUGGUAAUAGCCGAAUUUGUAAAUCAUGUUUUUGAUUUACAAAUGCGGCUUUGGUAAAUAACCGCACUUGUAAAUAGUGUUUUUUUUAGUGCAAUCUGUAUUGUCCCUAAACCAUAUAAAUUAACCUACAUAUUGAUCAAAAUGUACCCAUCCAGACAAAUACAUAAAUAUAGAGAUAAAUUCAGAGAAUCAAAAUGUACAUUACAAACAAGUAAUCAAAUUACAUAUAAAACCUACACUAUUGAUCGGCUAUCUUAGAGUUAUAAAAAUUUAUGAAAUAUGUGGACCAAGAAUGUCUCACAUAUGACAUGGCUUCCGAAUUCAUUGGUAUUUCUUCCGUGAAUAACUGCCUUGCAAAAUAUAGUUGACAUAAAUUAGUUUUUAGAUACAUAUAUGUUUAAGAAUUAUAAAAAUGAUUUAACAUAUCAUGUUACCUCUUUCCAACCAGUUUUAACACCUAGUCUUAUAAUGGUAAUCAUCCAUUGCAUAAUGUAAUAGCCACACUCAUAGCUUCCUGGUUGUUUAUUACACUAUAAUUCAAUAAAAAGUAAAAGUUAGUAUAUUGAUAAACAGUGAUAAGAGAAAGAAAAAAAUUACAAACCUUUAUUCUUAUCCAGUUCAAAUUAUUUGAAUUGGAUCGACCUUUUAGGAUGUUAUAUCCACGCCAUGAACUGGUUAAUACAAAAAACCUCGUUAGUAGAUGGUUAAUUAGUAACAUAUACAAAGUUAAGUUUAUAGUGUACUUACGUAUCAAUGAUAUCCUUAAAUUUUGUGGGCAUCUUCUUGUGUAGGGAACAAAACCACACAGUAGUCUUAUCAACCAUUGAUAAGACAAGUAAUUGCCAAUGAUGCCUAUAUCAUCCAUGAAAAGAGUUAGUAAAUAUUUAAAACAUGAAAUAGUAAUAAUUGAUGACAUAUAAUUAAACUUACUCAUUAACAUAAGGGCAUGAAUAAAUUUGUUUUCCCUCUUUUUCCAGGGUGUUAGUGAUGUAUGCUUGAGUCUCAUAUGACCUUGGUCCAACGGGAUUAGUAUAUGCAGGAUCUAAGAAUUCAUACACAUUUUCCUUCCCCUCAGUGAGACAGACUCCAUGCAAAAACCUACAAGUUAUUAGUUAAAGCAUAAUCAAUAAUAAUUUAACAUAAAUUAAAUUGAAUAAUAGGUAAAGAUACUUACAUCAUAAAAAAUUGAAUUAUAUUUAUAUUGAGCUCCUGAUUCCCAGAUACAAAUUCUAAUAAAUCUGUGUUGUACAUCAUCAGUGGCAGUUCAGUGUUUAUUUGAAAAAACGUAUCAUCCCACGAAACUGCAAAAGGUUCAUUACCAAUCUGACUAGCAAUGAGACCUAAGGAAGCUAUAGGAUCGUCAACUGGAACCUCACGCUUCUUCUGCGGACUUGGUUUCCGAAAAGGUUUCUACAAGAUAAAGAACAUUUGUAUUAAAUAAUAUGUAAUAUAUAAAUAAAAAUAAAAAUUAAUAUAAUGAAAUGAAAUUAUUACAUGAGGUUGGAGCAUAAAUCGAAUGAGGUCUCUGGGCUAGGCAACGAAUGUCUGAAAUGCAUCGACCACAGUGGUUACCUCAUCUGUAGGUAGUGGAACACGAGUAUCAGGUACUCGUACUUUUUCAACUGUUACCUUCGCCACAUCAGGGGAGAGAGGAACGUUAUGUAAGGUGGUGGCCUCUUCAUAGAGUUUUCCAAGGGCCACCACCCGAGGAAGUUUGCCGCCCGCUACCAGUAGCUCACAUUCCCUCAUCUGCCCAAUAUCAUCCCCUGAUGUUGUAGGAGCUGCACAACUCCCCUUUGUGCUCUUGGGAGUGGGACUAACAAGGGGUUGACGGCUCAGCAUAAAGUUGUUGCGAUAGAAACUCUUGUCGCAUUCGAUCAUUCUCCUUUCUCAUCUCUAGCCGCAUCAAAUCAGUCUCCUUUCUCAUAUCCUCCAUUAAUUCUUCACGUAUCUUAGUCUUCAUUUGAGUUUCGCUCUCUUUGGAGGAGGAGGAUGACUGUCAUUUUGAAACUCCAAAAUAUAGUUUAAUUCCAACCCCUUGUCUAGCUGCACGAACACGACCACGGUGCUUAGGUCGUCCAAUUGCUUCAACCAGGAUAUCUUGACGACCUUCAGCAACAAAUUUACCGUCAGAUUCCAUGGAAUCCUGCAAGAGACAAAAAUCAUAUCAGUUUUUAAUAUAAUUAAUGCUUUAAAAUAAAUGAAAAUAACAAAAAUAGCUUACAAUUUUUUCGAUGAUAACCCCGGAUUGGUCAGAACUUGGUGCACCCGACUUUUUAAUUCGGGCCCUCUUCUAUUUUACAUGGCGAAAAGGUGGUGAUGGAGGAGAAGUGACCCCUGUUUCCACAUUCUCAGACGACAUCCCCUGUUUAGAUUGCUCCUUUUCCACCAUCAGUGUUUGCUCAAGUUUUCGAUACCCCGAACGAGACAUUACAUGCGGGGUAACAUUCUUCAAAGCUAUCUCUUGAGCUUUCUUCCGACGAUCCUGUCAUAAUUGAAAUAAACAAAGUGAAGUAAAUAAGGUAAACUUAUUAAUGUUAUAUAAAUAAAAAAAGUUAAGUUACUUCACUUACCAUCCAAGCCUCAUUUUCACAACUUUCUUUAAAAAGACGUCAUGUCUAUUCAUCAAUAUGUUUGUACUUUAAACAUGGAUUUUCGUCUUUAAGGUCGCCAAAAACGUAUCUCAAAGUCAGUCUUGACUUAAAGGUACAAAAUUUAAGUCCGAUAUUGGAUAUAAUCUUUGAUCGAAGGGGUUCCACAUCAGGAAUUUCAAAGUUUUCCUAGAAAAAUAACAUCACUAAAUUAAAAUUAAUCAAUGAAUAUUAAAAAGCAUUAUAUCAAAAUGUAAAGCUUACCAUAACAUCCUCCCAGAUCAUGUUCCGAUCGACCUCUGACACCUCAUCCCAUGAAUUAAUCAAAAUGGAGAGCCUCUCACGAGAAACAACUCCAAGAUAGCUCAUAAACUGAUGUGCUUUAGGACCAAAAGCCACUCUAGUGUUGACGUCAAUGCCAACACGUGUCUUCUCACCAGUAGCACGUCUCAAUGCGAGACGCUUCAAUCUAGUAGGUCCUCUGCUGCCUCAUCCAGAUCGAGGUCUGAGUGGGGUCUGAUCGUCAUCCAUGUCUCUGUUAAAAAAAUUAGGUAACAAACAUUAGUCAAUCUGCAUCGAAUUAAAAUCAUAUAAAAAUAAUACAUAAAAUUCUAAAUGCUUAUUUACGGGUUGCAUGUGGGUUGAAUGUUCAUAUGUAAAUUCCUUCACUGUGGUCUUUACGGGUUGCAUGUACAUCAUCAAGUACAUCGUCAUCUUUAUUAAUUAUCAUUGGUGUGAAUGAACGGGGGUCACUAUUUUCACUAUCAUCUAUGACCUCCCCUUGUUUUUUCUCGUGUAAAACGACAUACCAAUGUUCUGACGUAGGAUCUUUCACAUAGAAAACUUGAGAUGCUUGUUGAACCAUUAUAAAUGGCUCAUCUCGAUACCCUAUCUUUCGAAAGUCCACUAGUGUGAAUCCUGAUUCAUCAAUUUUAACCCCACUUUNNNNNNNNNNNNNNNNNNNNNNNNNNNNNNNNNNNNNNNNNNNNNNNNNNNNNNNNNNNNNNNNNNNNNNNNNNNNNNNNNNNNNNNNNNNNNNNNNNNNAGCCAACCAGGUCAAGGUCUCUGAUGCUGUUGAAUCCUUGAACACCUCGUCUUUAAACCAAGGCAUGAAAGUUCUAUUAUGUUCCAUCAAGACCCAUUUCUCUGCUUGUCUUGGGUUACUUGCCUUCACAAUGGCUUUAUGAGCUUCUAUGUAAGGUAUAACUUCAUCUGUGUUAUUCAAUAUGUACAAAUGUGCUUACAAGACUUCUGAUCGAGAUUUACUUUGAAUAUUCACACCACGUAAACAUUUACUUGUAGAACGCCUGUGGUGCCAUGAAUUAGCUGGAAGACCUAUUGGAUUUGCUUUUGUCAUGUACUCUGAACAAAAUUCAAUACUUUCUUUAGCUAUGUACCUUUCAAUCAUUGAAGCCUCUGGACGAUAAUGAUUUUUCACAUAACCUUUCAAAAUUUUCAUAUACCGCUCAAUAGGAUACAUCCAUCUUAAGUACACUGGUCCACACAAUCUAACCUCUCUUACCAUAUGCACCACUAGAUGAACCAUGAUGCCAAAAAAAGAUGGAGGAAAAAACUGUUGGGUUUAAUAGUGUCAAAGUUCAAGAGGGGGGGGGGGGUUGAAUUUACCUUUAAAAGUUUUGCGCAAAAUCAGUAUUUAUCACAGUAUACAGAAAAUAAAUCGAUUUAUUUGAAAAUGAACAGAUUUAUUUUGGCACUGUUAAUGUUUAAAAACAUUUAUAUCCGCCAAGUUAAUCUCAAGAUUAUGCAGAUUAAUUUGCAAGUCACACACCCUGAUAUUAGAAAGAAAACCACUGAAUUACAAAAAAACAACCUUCAAUUUUAAGCAAGUGAUUAAGGUUUAAUUGAUAGCUUGACAAUUAAUUGAGUUACCUAUCACAAUCAAUCUGUUCCAGUGGCUUUUAACAGAUUAUAUAUGUUCUUUUCAGAAUCAAACAAUUUUUCCAGAAAUUAAGAAUAGUAUGAAACAAGCCCAGAAAGAACAAAUUUAUUAUUAAUUGAACAUAUUUAUUUCUUGACAGUUUAACAGAUAUGCAGUAAUUCAAGUGCAAAGAUUAAGGGAGAAUGAACACAAGGCAAUUAUACUGGUUCACUCCAAUGAGCUACAUCCAGUCUUCACCUAAUCCAAGGUGAAAUUCACUAAAUCACAAUUCGAACAAACACAAACACCACUGUUCUUGAACCCUACAAGAACUUUGGUACACUUGCUGAAAAACCCUAUUUCAGCACACACACUCUUCAAGAAACCCUAUCAAGAAGAGUGUACAACCACACUUUUACAGGAAAUGAAAUGUGAAACGAAUACACCUAAUAGAGGAUGCAGAAAUUUGCCUUAACCUAGUAGAACAGAUCGCUUAAACAGUAGAAGCACCUCUCACCAAGCUUUGGAACCAAACAAGAACAAGCACACUUUUGAUUUUGGAAAUCUUUCAAGAACAAAUGCUAAUUCUUUGUAAAUCCUUAAUUCUCUGAUGAAAAACUUGUUUUCUCAAUUGUAUGAUCGAUUGUUAAACUCAGAAACAAGUUUUCUUUUUAUAGAAAACAAACUUAUAACAGAUUUUUGAAAAACAGUUAAAGCUGUUAUAAAAAGAACAAAUUGAAAAUAAAAUGAACAGAUUUAUUUUCAAAAGCAGUUAGAGAAUUUGUUAUGUGAGGAGACUUAGUUAGCCAUUCUGGUGCAGGGACAAAACUGAAAACCGUUUAAGAUAGACAUGGCACCAGAGUCAAAAAGAAUCUAUUCAUUUACAGAUGAACAGAUUUAUUUUUCAAAACGAUAACAGAAAAAACUUAACUAUUAGAACACAGUCGUUUUGAAAGGUAGAAGACUUAGUCAAAAUACUUGAUGCACAAAAUCUAAUUUUCACAAGACUUAGCCAAUGCAUCAGUUUAAAAAUGAAUCUGUUUAUUUUGAAAAGAACAGAUUUAUUUUUAUGCAGUAAACGUGUUUUUUGUAAAACAUGUGAAAAACAGUUUAAGAAAUUUUGUGCUUGCUCUUAUCACAUGGUCAGUGGUUAAGAGGUGAGUUACUAAGCAAAAGGCCUACUCUUAAACAACCUCUUAACACUACCUAAGACAUUCUUAAAGCAAAAUGAAAUAUACAUGACUUGUACAUAAAAGUCUUCAUCAAACACAUGUCUUGAAGGGGCAACAACCAUCUUCAACAAAAACAUCUCCAUUUCAGACAAGAUAACAACAAUUUCAUUUUGAAGUUCAUCUAGUUUUGAUGGAUCAAUGAAUUUACAACAAAUGGAAGAGAAGAAUGAGCACAAACAGGUUAUGGUAUGUCUAACAUUUUUUGGUAAGAUCCCACGGAUAGCUACCAGCAACAACUAUUGCAUCAAGAUGUGACAAUCAUGAGACUUCAACCCAAUUAACUUCAAAUCUUGCAUUGACACUAGGCUCUUCACAUUUGAGGAAUGUCCUUGUGACACUUUCACACCCUUUAGACAUUGACAAAAACUAAUAUUUUCAUCUUUUGACAUUGUGUAACAGGCUGGGGGAAAAUAUGUACGCUUACCCAUUUCUAUGGGUGCCAACUUGCCGCGUAUCUUCAUCUCAAUCAAAUCUAAACGAGCAUUUAGACCAUCCUUCGUCUUCCCGUUAAUGUUAAAAAGUGUACCAAUUAAGCUAUCACACACAUUCUUCUCAACAUGCAUUACAUCUAUACAAUGUCUGACUUCUAACCUCGACCAGUACGGAAGAUCAAAGAAGAUUGAUUUCUUCUUCCAAAUGUUUGUCACAGAUGNNNNNNNNNNNNNNNNNNNNNNNNNNNNNNNNNNNNNNNNNNNNNNNNNNNNNNNNNNNNNNNNNNNNNNNNNNNNNNNNNNNNNNNNNNNNNNNNNNNNCUUUUUUUUUACUUACCGAAGGUGUGGUCUAUGUUAUUUACCUUUUCGUAAACCUCAACACCGGUUAAUGGAGUUGGUGGACCACUAGCCUCUUGGUGUCCAUUAAAGGCUUUUUUCAACCUCCGGUAAGGAUGAUGACUUCUAAGAAACCUCUGAUGCCGAAGAUAUACUGUUUUCCUUCCAUGUUUCAAUUGUUGAGAAGCAGUCUCUCCUUCGCAUAUUGGACAUGCUUUAUGACCCUUAACACUAUAACCUGAUAAGUUACCAUAUGCCGGAAAGUCAUUGAUGGUGCAAAAUAACAUGGCAUGAAGCUUGAAAGUUUUAUUAGCAAAUCCGUCAAAUACUUCAACACCCUGGUCUCACAUUAACUUCAAAUCUUCAAUUAGAGGACUUAGAUAUACAUCAAUAUCAUUCCCUGGUUGUUUCAAACCGGAUAUCAUCAUAGACAACAUCAUGUAUUUUCGCUUCAUGCACAAUCCAGGAGGUAAGUUGUAAAUAACUAGUAAAACAGGCCAUGAACUGUGAUUUGUACUCAUAUUACCAAAUAGAUUCAUUCCAUCUGUAGCUAAACCAAGUCAGAUAUUUCUUGAUUCUUUACCAAACUCUGGAAACUCAUCAUCAAUUUUCUUCCACUGAAUAGAAUUAGCUGGAUGUCGGUACAUGCCAUCACAUUUCCUCUCAUCUACAUGCCAUCUAAGAUUCUUAGCAUCGUUUGGGUUUGCAAACAAACAUUUCAUCCUUAGAAUGAUGGGAAGAUACCGCAUAACCUUCAUUGGGGGUCCAUGCUUUUCUAUAUCUUCAAUAGUAUCAUCAUCUUUUUGUUUCAACUUAUAAUGUGGUAACCCACACCUCGGACAACUUUUCAACAAUUCAACAUCUUUCCGGUAUAAUAUACAAUCAUUAGGACAUACAUGUAUCUUUUUAUACUCCAUACCCAUUGGACAAAGAAUCUUUUUGGCCUCAUAAUUACGAUUAGAUAGAGUAUUUCCCUCUGGAAGCAUAUCCUUCAACAACUGAAGCAAUUUCGUGAAGCUUUUAUCAGUCCAUCCAUUUAUUGUCUUCAAAUUCAUCAAUCUUAACAUCGCCGACAACCGUGUGAAGUUAGUUGAUGUAGGAUACAAUGGAGUCUCUGCAUCGCUUGACAUACUACCAUAUCCAUGCGCUUUUGCAAAAGACUCAGCUCCUACAUCACGAAUCAUGUCUUCCAAUCGAUCAUCAUCUACAUCAUCGUGUACUACUUCAUCCAUGGUGGACCCCACAUAUUCUUCAGUUAUGGAAACACAUGGUAAAUUUAAUAAUUCACCAUGCCAUGUCCAAGUUGUAUAAGAUCGAAGAAACCCAUCACAUAGUAGGUGCUCCCUCAUUAUAUUAACAUCCAAUAUCCUUCCAUUCAAACAAUUAACGCACGGACACCUGAUCUUUGCUCCAUCAUGACCACUAUUAAUCGCGUUACGUUGUGAAAAUUGUAUAAAUUCUUCUACUCCUCUUUCGUACUCCUCACUUAUAUGAACAUAAUUCAUCCAAUUUCGAUCCAUUAUAUAUUCUGGAAUGUUUAGAAUUUUUAUAUCAGUGUUCUAUCUCACGCGUUUGCCGAGGGUUGAACACCUUCAGGCUCAAUACCAGAACGUAUUAUUGCUAAAUAUAACAUAUGAAGUAUCAACUAACAACUAACAUAUUAUAAAUUUUAAUAUAAAUUACAUAAUACAUAAAAAAUAACAAAUUGAAAAUAUAAUAAGUACUAAUACUAAAUAAUAUAAAUUUUGAAAAAUACAAAUUAUAAUACAUAAAUAACAUACAAAUUCAAAACAUACAAUAAAUUAUAAUACAUAAAAAAAAUUAAAAAAUUUAAAACAGCAUACACCAACCUUGUGCGUGAACCAAAGUUGGUGGUGAAGAGUGAUAGGGGAGCAAGAGCAACAGCGGCAGCAGCCAAAACGGUGACGGAGCAGUGACAGAGAGCCAAUGGAACAGUUACCUUCGACCAACAAUGCAAGAAACAAAAGCCAUUAAAAAACAGAUAUUGUGAUUCAAAGGAAGAAAGCGAAUCAAUGGACUCAGUAUACGUACCAACAAUGCAAUGAACAGUGAAAACGAUGAGGCAAACGAAAAGGAUGAACAACGCAAACGAAAGGAAGAAUAUGAAAGUGGUGAGGCGCGUAAAAAAAUUAGGGUAAAAAGCAUUUACAAAUGCGGUUAAAUGUAAAAACCGCAUUUGUAAAUCAAGCGCUUUGAUUUACAAAUGCGGUUAUACAAACUACUGCAUUUGUAAAUCAAAUUAAUUUAAAAAAUGCCACCACGUUUUUAACGAAUGCGUUUAAGCGUAAAGCCGCAUUCAAUAAAGAGGGCUUUUUUCUUCAUUUUGCACUAGUGACUGUUUCUAGCUAAACUUAAUUAUCUAGUUAAGAGACAUCCUUUUUUACUAGAACAUUUUGACGUCCACCAUGGGGUAGCUAAAUCAAGCAUGCGCCAUUUUUAGAAAUGCAAGUGAUAGGAAGGACGAUGGCACAAAAGAAAUGAGAGACAAUACAUAAAACCUUGGACGUGGAAUAUUGCAAAUCUUCGUGUUUAAAUGAAACCAUAUCGCAUUUAUAACGUAGUAGGAAGGGAAGCAUUUCGUUUGGAAUCAUUGGACGGUGGCCUUAUACAAAGAAGGAUUUACUAAUCUUCAUUUCAGUUUUAGUUUAUUAUGCACUCUUUUCUUUGUUGUGUUUCACUAUAAAUUUCCAAAACCAACCAAUUUUUUUAUUUAAUUUAAUAAAUCUUCUUAAAUUGGCGAUUGAACCAAAUUUUUUAAUUAAUUUUAAUUCAAAGUCUCUUAAGUUAGGAUGUUUAUGUUUCUGGUAAAGAUAGGUUUUUCUACAUUUAUUUUAAUUUUGUCCAAAAUUUUGAUGAAGUUUUAACUCGUGGCAUCUAAGAGAAGUUUAUUAGUGAUGGUGAAAGACAGGUUGAUAUGCAUCCUGUCCUACUAAUUUUCUACAACGUUGUAGCUCCACUUUUUCGUUUCUCAUCCAUCAGUAUUAUGGUCCCACACUUUAUGUUUAAGCACUUUCUUUCUACCAUCAUAAUAAAUAAGUAAAUUAUAUAAAGAAGAAGAAAACCAUGUACGAGUCUUAACUAGAUCCACUAUCAGAAAAAUUAAAACCAUGUCUAAGUCUUAACUUAGCAUGGUGUCGAGCCCAAACUUGGUCCACUAUCAAAAAUAAAAAUCAUGUCUAAGUCUUAACUUGGCAUGGUGUCGAGUCCAAACUCGGUCCAUUACCAGAAAAAUAAAAACCAUGUGUAAGUUUAACAUGGCAUGGUGUCGAGCUCUCAUUCGAUCUACUUAAUAGAAGAACAAAAACCAUGCACAAAUCUUAACCUGACAUGGUGUUGAGCCCAAGCUCGGUCCAUUACUACUAACAAAAUUUUGAUUAAUUAGCCUCUAAGGCCUCACCUUGAGGCUAGGGGGCUUGUGAUGUGAUGAGUUGGUUCUGGUUAGUUAGCCUCUAAGGUCUCGAUCUUAGGUUGAAGGGCUUGUGGUAUCAUAGGUCGAGUCUAAAUAGUUUUUAAACUCUUAUGAAUAAGAAUAAAGUUGAUAUGAAAUCAAUCUUAGAUAAUAAUAAAGAUUCAAUAUAGAAAUCCCAUUAUUUUCUUCUCGUAUUAUUAUAAUAUAUAAAAUAUAAAAAAUUGGCCUUAAAUAGAGAAUUAACAUUUAAUAUUGGAAAAGACUGAAAGAAAAAAACAGGAUGGGAUACAAAAGGGUAGGGAGAACAAGUAAAGCAUAAAAAUGUCCUCAUAAAUAAAUUAAAUGAUCUAAUUAGGAGACAUUCUUCUUGGUUAGAACAAAUUCAUUUGUGGUGAAAGAAGCCUAUUUGGUGAGUGCUGAAUUUAGUUUUUAGGAAGUCGAAUUCUGAGUCUAUUUUUUGAUUUUGGCGUAUGAAAAAGUUUCAUCGAGAUUCAGUUUUUCGAUAGCCAAAUUCAGGUAGGAGGUCAAGUUUUUGUUUUUUUUUCAAUUUGUAGGGUGUGAUUAGGGAAGAAGAAAGGAAAAAAUAAAAAAUAAAAAAAAGGAAAAAAUUUUGUAGGAAAAAAAUAAUUUAACGAAAUUAAAUAAAAUUAAGAAGAAUAAAUUUAAAAUAGUUUGUGAGAGAGAAAAUUAUAAAAUUAAGGUGGAAUAUAAUUUGGUUGGGUAGAGAAAUAAAAUAUUUUAAACUUUUAGAAUAGAAGGAAAUAUACAACUUUUGUGCAUGUUUAUUGUUAUUGGUAAAUUAAUUUUUUUAAAAGAUUUAAAAAAUGCAGCUGGAAAUUUAAAAUGAAUUAAAAUAAAGGUAGUGCAUUUUUUAUAUUUAAAAAUAGGAAAAAGAAAAAUAAAAAUAUUUUGCAGUAAAAAACUUUAUUAAAAAUUGAAUUAAAUUUUGGGAGGAUUUUUUUUUUAAUUUGUUAGAGAAAGUGAGGUAAAUAAAAAAAUUAGGUAAGGGAAAAAAUCUUUUGUUUUUCUUAAAUUUAUUUCAAAAUAAAUUUAUGAUUAUUAGUUUGUUUAAAAUUGAACUAAAUUAAUAAUAUAAAAAUGAUUGAUUUAAAUUUUGAAAGGAUAUUAAAAAUGAGAAGAAAAUAAAAUGAAAAAUUUCAUAGUAAUUUUAUUUCAUAGCCACAGAUGGCUUAAUUGAAUGAAGAACACUACAGUAGACAUAUAUGUUUUUAUACUUUAUUCAUGUAUAUAGGAAGAUUAAUUACUGUGCCGAUAAGCUUGUUAAGCUUGUUGAUUAUGGUUCUUAGGUCUCAAGUUUCAUUUGGUAAAAUAAUGUUCCUAGAAUUGUUAAUUCAGAAUUUUUAAGAAAUAAAUUUGCUCUACCUUGUUAUAGAUUUGUUACAUAAUGGGUUUUGGUUUGGUUUAUUUUUUUUAUAUUCUUUUUCGAUUAUGAUAUUCUAGUGUGUUACAAAUUAUUGAUGAAGUUUGUAGGAACAAUAUAAUUAGAAUGGCAAACUACAUAAUGAUGAUGUUAUGGCACUAACAUUUUUGGUAAAAAAAAGUGAUAUGCUACUUUGUUACUCUCAGCUUUUGAACUAAAAUAAUAAGCAUUCAUGAAGGUAUAUGUAACUCUGCGGUGCCUUAGCUAUUUUUAUCUUUGAAUUUGAACUCUGCGAAACAUCAUAAAUUCAUUGACAGGAGCCCUUAACAAGGUUUUUUUAUACAUACAAGAAAAGAAGAUUUUUUUUUAAUGAAUAAAUUAAAUUAAAAGGAAGAUAUCUCAACUCAGGAUAUUUUAACCCGUAUAAAAAAUUCACAAAGCCUCUUUCGUUAAAAAAACCAAAAACCAAAACAAGCGGAGCUACCACAAACCCUUUACAGCCCCAACAGCACACAACUCCAGGGUUAAAAAGAACCUGCUUUAGACAGCAAUGAAAAAACCAGAAAAAGAGGCCAAACGAAAGUCUCAACAGCACCAAAAACAAACCAGAUAACACCUACUACUAAGGUGUAGAACCUGCAUAGCAUCAGCUAAUGUAUUUAUACAGAUGCCUCUCCUUAAGCAUCACCAAACCAGCAACUAAAAGAAGAUCAACGAAACAGUGACAACUUCAAAACGGUAGUAUCAGCUACUAGCAAAGCCCUGUUUUCGUGAAUCAAGUGCACCAAGGAGCAGCCAAAAUUCAUUAACUGACACCACCCUCAACCUAUCUCUGCUGCCAGCACAGGAAGGCAUGCAUAAACCCUCCCAAAGCUCCUUCCUUCUAUGGGAUCAGUGACCUUACUAGCAGCCAAAAAGAUAUAGCAGCAACGCCACAAUCAGAGAACAAAUUCACAACUACCACCCUACAACCACACACCAAACAUCCUAAUCCAAACUCCACUUCACACAAAACUGGGAGGCAGUUUAUACUCAGGACCCAGCUUAUGCUAUCUGCAUAAAUAACCAAAACAAACCGCUGUUACCACCAACAGCAUCUAACUACUAGAGGACCCCAAGCACUCAACACCUACAAAAGCCACCUACUUUGCGCAUACAGAUACAAACCACCUCCAAAACCCCAUCCCAUAUCCACCCUCCUAGCUUCCAAUGCCAGCCCUCACAGGGAGAUCAGUUCAGAUAUUCAGGACCAGAUCUAACUUACAUUGAUUGUUUGAGUCUUGAAGGUGUAUUCUCCAUGGUCAUUUUGGUUUCAGGAUCCAACUUUUAGCCUUUGCUUCUGUUCCCUUUAACUAUUACAAAUUAUUUGUAUUUGUAGAUUCAAUAUCUUCUAUGAACUUAGCCUCUCAGGCUUCUGCAACUUUUCCACAGUCGUGUACCUAUUAUUACUGUUAAUAAUGUCAUUCAUUUUAGAUUAAAACAAACUAAUGUAAAAUAAAAUAAUGAGGAUUACAUAUAACAAAUUAUUUGGUAGGCAUUUCAACGGAAUAUCUUAUAGAGAUCAUAUAUAUGUUCUUUUUGUUUAUAUAUUUAUCUUUAUUUUUUUUUGUUUAUAAACACAUUUUCACCAAAAAGAAAGUACAUCAUCUCUACUCAUCUACUGUACAAUAUAUUGUUAAAUCUCUUAUAUUGACUUUAGUAAGAGAUUUUUCUGCAAAUAGAUCUCCAUUAAUUGUUCAGGUAUCCUCCUCUACCAUAGCACAUUACCUAGGAGUUCAUAGCUCGGCAAGAAGAUUUCAACCUUCUUAAUAGCUUGUCCCAGUGACACCUCAAAUCUGGAAAGGACAUGUAAAUCAAACACUGAUCAACCCAAUGAACCUCAUUCAACCACAAAUCUAACUAUAAAAAAAAAAUACAUAUUUUUAAAACAAAAACAUCAUUCCGAACAAGAAUAAGUCCUCAAAGACUCUCUUCUCUUGUCAGCACAUCACAAGAGAGAUACAACAAAAAUUAAAAGUUCAAAUUAUUACUAAAAAAAUAUGCUUAUUAGGAUGGGCCAAAAAUGGAUAUUAACUAUAAUAAAUGGAUGCAAAUAUGUAAUUAUCGUAGGCAUUUCUCGUUAGUUAUAGACAUAUUCAAUGAAUUUGCCAUUUCUCUAUUUUUGGAUUUUCUUUCCUACCUCACUCCCACAGGUGAACCAUGUGUUUUUUUUUUAUCAGCAAGAAUCAAUUAAAUUAAAAUGGUCACUUAAGGGGUGAUCCAACCCUUAUACAAAAGGACAAAUAAUACAUUUCCUUUUACAACAAAAGAUCAAGAAUCAAACCUUUAAAGAUACAUUAAUAGAAUACAUCCGUACCAAGGGUUAUAGACACCAGUCAGAGAAUGAGAAGCUCGUUGACGGUAUCUUUGAAGCGAUCCAAGACCAACACUUUAAUAUGAUCAACCACUCCAUCUUUAAAUAAACAAUUGUUCCUAUGUCUCCAAAUCUCACUAACCAACGCAAUCCAAAUAUUACCCAUAAUAAGAUUAACUGAAGUAUGUGUAAGAAUUAAUGGCUUAAACAAGAGGGGGAUGGAUUGUUUAUCAAAGAUUUUCGCAAAGAUUGAAUAUGAAUGAAGCUUUAACACAAUUCACAGAUAAAACAAUCAAGGAAAGCAAUCAAACAAUGAUUAAGAAAUUGUUUGCAGAAUUUCAAUUGGUUGAAACUUCGUUUUAACCGGUUGUUUAUAGCAGCAACAAAAGCAGAAUUAAAACAAACAAUUAUAAGGAGUGAGAGAGAGAGAGAUUUACUCAGCCAAUUUUAUACUGGUUCACUCAACCUUGACCUACAUCCAGUUCCCAAAACAACCACUGGGUUCCACUAGUAAUCACUCACAGAUUACAACAUAUACAACCACAAAGAGGUGAUCUUGAAACCACAAGACCCACUCACCUCUCUGCAAACACACACCUCUAGCCAGAACAACCUCUGACUUUACAAGAUUUCACACACAUUUACAACUUUAUGAAAAAUCAAAUACAAGAAUCAUGAAAGGAACAUAAUACACGUGAGUUUACAGGAAUCAGAAAGCUCCUAUGAUCAUACCUUGAACCAUUGCACAACUAAACAACAAUCUUGCAAAACUUUUGAAAAACUUCUUUCAAAUCAAUCUCAAUCUCACUUCUUUUUGUUUUUAUUUAUAGCACACAAAUCUAGCCAUUCUAGGCAGCAUUUAUUGUCCAAAAUAGUUUUGAUUCACAUCCAAAACAGAUUAAUAGGUUUUCAAAAGGCUGUUAUGAAAUGUCACAAUCAACUGGUUGAAAAGUUGUUUUAACCGGUUGAAUUGGUUAGGCAGUUGCAUAACCAAUUCAAAAACAGUUUUAAAACCUUUAAACAAGCCAAGUGACAAACAACCGAUUAUUUUGAUAAUUCAACCGGUUGUUUUUGUUUUUGCUUAGAAAAACACUUUUCUUAUAGAAACAGAUUGAGCAAGCUUUGUGCAAGGGACUAGGAAAGAUCUUACAAAGAUUCUAAACACCCUAAACUAAACCCAAACCAAAAGCAGCACAACUUUAACCUUCAUCAUGGAUUUAAAAUAUCAAAACUCCCAUGUUCAACAAUCUCCCCCUAUUUGAUGGAGACAAAUCCUUGGGAUGCUUUUUGGAAUGUUCUUGUUUAGAAUUUGUAUAACCUGCAUUCAUAAGCAAACAGAGACAUACAGGAUAAUCUAUUCCAAUCAAACAGGUACCACAAACCAUAGGUGUUAAUGUAUUUCCAAGAAACAUUAGGCUCCUUAGGAACCCAUUUCAGAAUACCCUUAGGGACAAAAAACUUUCUGAUUCUGCAGAACCUAACAGAGUGUCCCUUUUUCAUGCAAUAGAAACAACAAACAACCGGUUGUUUCAAUUUUUUAACUGAUUUUUGAUGAGUGAAAGUUGGAAAAGUUCUUGUGCAUCCUGUUUGUUCGCUUUGGGGGUUAAAACCCAAGCCAGAUUUUCCAAAUACACAUGUUUGGGAUGCCAACACAUUUUCAAAAUUUGAUUUUCCUUUCGAAAUGAUAUCAAUUGUUUUCACAAGAUAUAAGACUUUCUCUUGAAGAGACUCACGAUUUUUGCAAAAAUUUGAAUCACGUUUGCAAGAUAUAAGAAAAUGAUAAAAAAUGGUAAGAAGAAGAGAUGUUUCUUAUUCUCUUAUGUGUAUAUUACAUCACUUCAUGUAUAGGAAAUAUAUAGGGAUUUUCUCUCCCCCAAAUUACAAUCUAAUUAGGUAGGAUACUAAUCAUGAGAUUUUAUAAUUAUUAAAUUAAUUGCAUAUAAUUGGGUACAAUAUCGUCAAAUAUUGCAUACAAUAAUUGCAUAUAAUUUGAUAAUUAUUAUUUCCUUAAUACUCCCCUCAAGUUGGUAGGUGAAGAUCAAUAACCCCAACUUGUGUCGUAGUGUCAAAAAUCGUUCCUUGCCCAAUGACUUCGUAAAAUUAUCUGCGAGCUGAUACUGUGUCGGUACAUAUGAAGGGCUGAUUAUCCCAGCUUGUAAUUUUUCUCGCACAAUGUGGCAGCCUAUCUCAAUGUGUUUUGUGCGUUAAUGAAAUACUGGGUUUGCUGCUAUAUGUAAUGCCGCUUGAUUGUCACAGAAAAGUUGAGCUGGCAAGUUACAUGGCACCUUUAAAUCCUGCAACAGAUAUCGCAACCAAACUAUCUCCAAACAAGUAUUGGCCAUUGCGCGGUAUUCUGCUUCCGCUGAUGAUCUUGCUACGUUUGUCUGUUUUUUUACUUCCAUGAGAUAAUAGAGGAACCAAGAAAAAUGCAAUACCCAGAUACUGAUCUCCGAGUUGUCUGACAACCUCCCCAGUCUGAGUCGCAAUAAGCUGUCAAUGUCAGAUUGUUUUCGGAUGGCAAUAGCAAUCCUUGUCAUGGUGAUCCUUUGAUGUACUUUAGGACUCGAAUUGCGGCAUUCCAAUGAGGUUUCCGUGGAUCCUGUAUAUAUUGACUUAGGGUCCGAACCGAAAAUGUUAUGUCAGGCCGAGUAACCGUGAGGUAUAUCAGUCGUCCCACGAGUUGCCUGUAUUUGAUUGGAUCCUUUAAUAACUUUCCAUCGUCUGGUGUGAGUUUUAGGUAUUAAUCCAUUGGAAAUUUGUCUGGACGAGCACCUGUGAGUCCCGUAUCCUGCAAAAUAUCAAGCGCAUAUUUUCUUUGAGACAUGUAAAUACCAGGUUUGGAACAGGAAAAUUCAAUCCCUAGAAAAUAUUUUAGGUCUCCAAGAUCUUUAAUGCGAAAUUGUUGUAAUAAACAAUCUUUAACACGCUGAAUUUCUGUCAAAUCAUUUCUUGUCAAAAGAAUAUCAUCCACAUAAAUCAAAAGAGCAGUAAAUGAUGAGUUAUUUUGUCUUGUGAAUAGAGAGUAAUCUGUCUUGGACUGUUGAAAUCCUACAGAUUUAAUCACAUGAGAAAAUGUUGAAAACCAUGUUCGAGAUGCUUGUUUGAGACCAUAAAGGGAUUUGUUGAGUCGACAUACAAUGUUCUCCCCCUGUCGAUGAUGCCCGGGUGGCAAGUCCAUGUAAAUAAUUUCAUGCAAUGUGCCAUGUAAGAAGGCAUUUUGCACAUCUAGCUGGUGAGUAAACCAAUUUCUGGCUGCUGCAACACCUUCAAUCUGAGUGUACCCCUUUGCGACAAGGCGAGCCUUAUAUCUGUCGCUGCUACCAUCUGAGUUGUACUUUAUUUUAUAGACCCAUUUGCAUCCGAUGGGUUUCUGCCCCACGGGUAACGGUGUCAAGGUCCACGUUUGAUUUAGCUGCAAGGCGGAAAGCUCUUCGUCCAUUGCUUUUUGCCAAUUUGGAUCAAGGAUAGCUUGAGCAUAAGUGUGAGGUUCUUUGGUGGCUGUGAUGUUAGCAAGAUAUGCACUAUGUGUAGAAGAAAAUCAUGAAUUAGAAAGAAAAUGAUGCAUAGGAUACCUGGUUCCAUUCGGUCGGUCUUGGGCAGUGGUCGAAUGAUUGGCUUAGGAUCCCGUUACGUAGUCUUGAAGUCAGGAAGGUUGGGUUGAUGUGCGACUGGAUCGUCGAAUAGGAAGGUCGGUUGGAGAAGGUUUGGUAAUGGGUGCUAAACUUAUUGGCAUGGGAGAAGAAGGUUGGUCUACUGGAGGUUCAUGUGUAUUAUGACGAGUAGGAGAAGAAGGUUGGUUUGAUGGAGGUUCAGGUGCAUUGUGACGAGUAGGAGAAGAGAGUUGGUUUGAUGGAGGUUCAGGUGUAUUGUGACGAGUAGGAGAAGAAGGUUGGUUUGAUGGAGGCUCAGGUGCAUUGUGAUGAGUAAGAGAAGAAGGUUGAUUGAGUGAAUGUUGGACAGGAGUGGGUAAGUCAAUGUCAAUAGUGGGCAAAAUACCUUGUAAUGGAGGUGAGGAUUGUGUCUGUGACUAUUGGCAGAAUGGGAAAACACUUUCAUGGAAGAUGACAUCCCGACUUGUAAAAAAAGUGUCUGCAUCUAUAUCAAAUAAUUUGUAUGCUUUUUGACUGUGAGGAUAACCAAUGAAGAUGCAUUGUCGGGCGCGCGGAUCAAAUUUUUGCUUAGGUGAAACAACAGUUGCGUAACAGAGGCAACCAAAAGUUUUUAGAUGAGAAAGUGAAGGUGGUUGAUUAUAUAGUAGCUCAAAAGGUGAUUUAUUUUUUAGUAAAGGAGAUGGCAAGCGAUUAAUGAUAUAUGUGGCGGUUAAAAAGCAUUCUCCCCAAAAUUCUAAUGGUAAAUUGGACUGAAAUAGGAGGGCUCGUGUUGUGUUUAAAACAUGUCUAUGUUUGCGUUCUACUACUCCAUUUUGUUGAGGAGUGUACACGCAAGUGCGUUGACAUUCAAUACCUUUUUUGAGAAAAAAAUCAUACAUUGAAAUAAAUUCCAGUCCGUUGUCAACGCGGAUGGUUUUAACAGAUGCCUGAAAUUGAUUUUGUGCAAAUGUAAUGAAUGACUCUAAGAGAUGUUGGGUUCCAGAUUUGUGAUUCAUAAGCCUGCGUGUGAGAAAAAACUGUUUUCCAAAAUGAUUUGGGGUUUUAUGAGGACCCCAAAUGUCACAAUGCAAUAGAUUAAAUGGAGAAUGAGAUUUUAUUGUGCUUAAAGGAAAGGGUAGCCUUGUCUGUUUAGCUUUGGGACAAAUACUACAAUUAUUAUGAAUGGGAAUGAGAUUUUUACUGAUAGGGAUAUGUAGUAAGGAAGAUACAAGUUGUAGACACGUCGGAGAAGGAUGUCCAAGGCUCUUGUGCCAUAAAUCAGGAUCGGUCGAUAUUUGAGAUGCGUGGGCUUGGUUUGGAAGAGGGGACAUGUAGUGUAAGCCUGCGUGUUGUUUACCCGAGCCAAUCAUCCUCCCCGUAGCCAAGUCCUAUAAAACGCAACCAUGUGGAGUAAAAACGACACAACAAUUUAGUGAACUGGUUAUCUUACUAAUGGACAUGAGAUUUAAAUUAAAAGAAGGAACACAAAGAACAUCUUUGAGAGUGAUUUUGUCAUUGAAUUUAAUUGUGCCUGUAGAUGAGAUGGGCGCAGUUGAGCCUGUGGGCAGAUUAACAUUUGAAAUAAAUGAUGAUGAAGUGUGUGUGAAAAAUUGUGAAUCAGAUGCAAUGUCAUCGGUUGCUCUGCUAUCCAAAAUCCAUGGCUUCGUAAAAGCAGAAUUAGAAAAGGAGUUAUGGGCAAGCAGACCUGCAGAGCUAACAAAUGUGUCACUUUUACCGUUAUUGUUGAGCGAGUAAAUAGCCCUUGCCAUUUGCUGAAUUUGCUCAGCACUGAAGCGUUGUACGAGGUUUCUAUCGACCUCGUUACUGGUGCCUUCUUUACCAUACAUGAUUUUUUAUUUAGGGGAUAAAAAUAGAGAGGCUGUCAGGCACCAAUAUUAAGGAAAUAAUAAUUAUCAAAUUAUAUGCAAUUAUUGUAUGCAAUAUUAGACGAUAUUGUACCCAAUUAUAUGCAAUUAAUUUAAUAAUUAUAAAUCUCAUGAUUAGUGAUGAGAAUCAAAUAAAGGAGGCUUUUAUUAAUGGAGGAAGAGGACAUCCACCCUCACAUUUGAAGUUCUUCCUUCUAGUCUUCUCAAAAUUAAAAGAAGACAUAAAAUAAAGAUGAGGCCCAAGCUCAAAGCCCAAGCCCAAGCCCAAGAAGGCCAAAGCCCAAAGAGCCCAAGUCCAUCCCAUGAGGGGCAAGGCCAAGCUUUGAAAUACUCUUGUAUAGUUUUAGGAGGUGUGGUUAUUAAAUAAAGGAGUGUGAAAAUGUAAAAUAAAGUCACAUUGUCCAUGUGACUUAGGAGAGUGGUGUAGGUGUAGUUUUUAAGAGGUGCCAUAGUAGAAAAAGGUCACACCUCCCAUGUGACUUGUUUUUUGUGGGAAUUUCAAAUGAGUUUAUUUGAAUUUUCCCACCUAUUUUUCAGCACCUCUAGGCUAUAAAUAAAGGUGCUUAGCUUGUACAAUGCAGAUUUGAAUUUUAAUUAGAGAAACUAUACUCAAUUUUUGAGAGAGUAUUGGAGAGCUUUGUGCCUUCUUCACUAGUCUUAUCUUGAUGGUUCAAUGGUUACCUCAAGUGGCGGCUUGCACACUUAUCUUGGAGUCUCCAUCCUCCUAGUGGCGUGAUCAUCCAACCAUUCCUCCAUCUUCAUGAGCUUUCUCUUCUCCUUCCUUCCUUCUCUUUUUAUGUUCAUUCCAUAGCUUGUUCCUUUGAAAUUCUGUUCGGUUCCUUUGGUGUUCUUGCUGUUUUUGUUUCGGUUUUAUAUUUCUGCCGAUUCAUUCUUUCUUCUUUUUCAUUUUCUAGCUUUUAUGUUCGGUACAUUUCAGUUUUAUGCCAUUUUGUUCGGUGCAAUUGCUUUUCCUUCCAUUUCAACCGCUUCAAUUUGACAAUAUGUGGAACUUCCAUAUGAGUUUGGGUUUUGGUACUAGUUUUGGUGAGUUCUUGUUCAUAGAACCUUGAUCCAAUUCUAUGAUAAAGUGCCUAUCUCAUAUCCAACUCAAGAUGAUUCCUAAGAAUGUCAAGAAUCAUUCUAAUUGUGCUAGUGGAAUCACAUUAAUUAGUAUCCUACCUAAUUAGAUUGUAAUUUGGGGGAGAGAAAAUCCCUAUAUAUUUCAUAUACAUGAAGUGAUGUAAUAUACACAUAAGAGAAUAAGAAACAUCUCNNNNNNNNNNNNNNNNNNNNNNNNNNNNNNNNNNNNNNNNNNNNNNNNNNNNNNNNNNNNNNNNNNNNNNNNNNNNNNNNNNNNNNNNNNNNNNNNNNNNAUCAUUCGAAUUGAUUUACAAAUGCGGUCUUACCAUAGAACCGCAUUUGUAAAUCAAUUUAAUUACAAAAAUGCCACCGCAUUUUUUACAAAUGCGUUUAAGCGCAAAGCCGCACUAAAUAAAGGGUCGUUGUUUCCAUAUUUUGUACUAGUGCUUAUUAGAAGAGGUUGUACUUACUUGACUUGAAUUUGAUUCUACCUUGGUCAUUAAGCAGGCUUGCACUUUGUUUUUAGAAGAGAUUGAGCCAGCAUAUGACUCUUCUUUAUCCACCAAGUCACUCCUUGGAUUCUUGUGCAAUUCCUCAAGUGUGUCCCACAUUCCCUUAGCUGAAGUGCAUUAUGAAAUCUUAAGCAAUACAUCAGAGUCUAGAGCAGACACAAUAAUAUUAUGCGCCACACAAUCAAGAUGUUGUUUAGAGGAUUCAUUAAUUUCAGACAUAUGCACAUUGGUAUUACUUGAAAUAACAUUCCAAAUAUUCUUAUCUAAGGAUUGAAUAAAGAACUUCAUUUUUAUGCACCAAAUAGGAUAGUUUUGACCACAGAACAAAGGUGGUUUGUUCAAAGAGGCACCUUCCCCAAAAAUCUUUUAUUAGCCAUAAAAAGAUUUUUAACAAACAGAAUUCAAAACUUGAGUAACUUUCAAGAACCUUGCUCUUGAUGCCAAUUGUUAGGUUUGAUGGCUACAACAAGAGGUGAGGGGGGGGGGUGAAUUGUUUUCAAAAGAUUUUCUCAAAUACUAUGCUUAGAAUGAAACUUUAACAAUCAACUCAGAAAAGCAAUUCAGUAAGCUAAUCAAAAUAGCAAACAGAAACAGAUAGCACAAUUUUAAUUGGUUAAAAAUAUGUUUCAACCAGUUGUUUUUGACAACGGAAAAUAUCAAAUAGAUAAUGAGAGAAGAGAUAGAGAGAAUCACACACAAAAAUUAUACUGGUUCACUCUAUCCAAUAGCUACAUCCAGUCCUCAGUCAAACCAUUGAGUAUUCACUAUGCAACAAAUCAUAGAUUACACAUACACCAAACACAAAGAGGUGACUUUGAAUCCCACAAAGCCUACUCACCCUCUUUGCACACAACAAACACCUCAAGCUAGAAUCACACUGACUUUACAGGAUUUUACAGCAGUUAUACAAAGAGUUAUAUGAACAAUUACAAGAACUUGAACAGGAUUAGAAAACACCUGGAAACACAGUACACCAGAACCCUAUUGAUCAGUUCAUUGAAUCACAACAAAGCUCGAAGGCAAUCAUGCUAAAACCUUGGUAAAAACCUUUUCACAAACAAUUUGUAACUUCUCAAAUCAAUCACAAUCAGAGUAUCAAAUUUUUCUAUUUCAUCAAUCGCUUUACGUUCAAAAGAAGACUCAUUUUAUAAACCUUGAGAAGCUACCGUUGAUGACAAUUUUGAACAUUCAAAUCAGUUAAAACAGGUUUUUAAAAAACUGUUAUGAACACAUACAUUUAAUCAGUUAAAACCACGAUUUAACCGGUUGAAUGGUUUUGUCAGUUAUACAACUGAUUCAAAAAACAGUUUCAAAACCCCUUUGCCAGCUAAGUGACAAACAACUGAUUAUCUCGAAGCUUUAAUCGGUUAUUUUUCCCUUUACAUGGAAAAAACACUUUAAUCUUCAAAACAAAUUGAAAUAAGCUUUGUCUGAGAAUCAAUACUGAUCUUACAAAGAUUCUAAACCCCAUACCAAAACCUAAACCUAAAACAUCACACAACUUCAGUCUUCAUGAGGAUUUGACACAUCAAAGCUUCCCAUCUUCAACAGGAGAGAUCUUAGGAUUGCUAGGAGAAAUAAUAGAGAAUCCUUAUAGUAGAAGGAUUUAUAGAGAGUUUGGGCAUUAGAAGAGUGGGGAAUAAUUUUGAGGAUAAAGUUACCUGGGAGUUAGGUGAUGGUGAGAGUAUUUUCUUUUGGGAGGAUAAAUGGGUUGAGAAUGGUGUUUUAAGAGUUUUUUUUUCCCUAGAAUAUUUUACAUAUCCACGUCUAAAAUGGCGAACCUGGCUUAGGAAGGGGUCUAGUAUGGUAAUCUUUGGCAGUGGAAGUUGGAUUGGAGAAGGCACAAUUUGAGUGGGAAAAAGAUAAGGAGUAAGUUAAUGCUACAAAUUGAAGGGAAUAAUCUGGUUAAGGACACAUAGGACGCUUGGGUUUGGAAGGAAGAUGAAUUGUCAGUUUUUAAAAUAAAAUCAGCUUUUAGGAUAUUAAGGAAAGAAGCAAGUGGCAAGCAAAGACAAUUAUACGAGUUUUUUUGAAGUAUUAAAGCGUUACCGUAAGUGACAAGCUACUGACAAGGAGCAAUUUGGUGAAAAGAGGGAUGGUGUUGGAAAGUAACUUAUGCGUAAUGUGAGAUGUUGAAGAAGAGACGACUAACCAUAUUUUUUCAAAUGUAAUGUAGCUUGGCUAGUAUGAAAUCAAUGCAACAAAUGGGUAGGUGAUCUCACAACUGAGCACUGUGAAGCUAGUAUACACUUUGAACUCUUUAGUUUGGGUUGGGUUAGUAAAAACGUGAAUAAACCGUUGGGAAGCAUGUGGAUAGCAGUGAUAACAGAGAUAAGGAAACAGAGGAAUAAAAUCAUUUUUUUAAAAAUGGUCAAGUGGAUAGCGUAGAAAUUUUUACUUUGACUCAAUUAAAGGUGUGAUCUUGGUUAACUAAUAAAGAAAGCCUAACAAAUUUUGCAUACCCUCAAUGGUGUUUGAAUCCUAUAGAAUACUUAAAAUCCAUUAAGAAAGGAUAAUUUCUAAAGGUAGUUUUUUGAAUGUGAUUGUUGAUCUGCAUUGCUUGUCUGACGCUAGUAUUAAAACUAUCAUGCAUGUUUAUUUUUGGGAGCGGGCAUUACUGAUCACAACUCUAGGUUGGAAGGUUGCCUUUGUAUUGGUUUUGUAGAAACAUAAACACUACAAGAAAAAACUGUAUUUCCCAUGGAUAAUUACCCAUGAAAUUUUUUUGGUAUGUAAAUAGGUUUUUAUCUACCAACCACUUCGUAGGUAAUGUUAUUGAACAUUAAAAAAAGAAAAAGCUACUUUACGUACAAAAGUUAGGUGGUAGUAAAGAUUUUAAUGUAUUUUACAGUAUUUUCAAAAUAAACAAAAUAAAAAUUAUAUUGUUUCCUCCUGAGAAACAUAGUUUCCCUCCACCGAAACACUCCACUCUCUCACUUGCUCCCUUGACUGAAACAGUUUUCCUAAACUGAAAGUGAGAAUGUUAAUGGAGGUUCUGAAAUCCAAAUCCAAGACAUCCAACCGUGAGAAUGUGAAAAUCGAAACUGUAACACCUUCAAAGCUCUUCAACCCAGUGAAACGACCAAAGAAUGAAACUUUGAAGUUCCCAUUUUUUUCUGUGUUCCCAGUCUCGGUUUCGUUCCAAAAUUUGAACCCAAAUUCGUGUCUUCCCAAACCUACACUGAAAUCCCCUAUUCUUGGUUUCAAUUUGUGAAACCAAAAGCCCUAAUCUGGUGUUGGUGAUUGUAAACCUAAAUCCUGAAUGGUGACUUCGUAAAUGCAGUGAAAGCGUCGUCGUGGUGGCCUGAAGCGCAAGCGAUUGAAGGGAGAUUUACGGAGGCUUAUUCAUCCAGUAUUGAGAAAGGUAUUGAAAUUUUUUUCUUUCGUUUAUUGUAGGUGGAUUACUUUACAUUUCAGGUGGAUUACUUUACAUUUAAAGUGAGCGGUGCAGUGGUGAGCGGUGCGGUGGCUCACCACUUCCACCGUUUAGAACCUAUAAAUAAUACCUAAAUAAUGUAAUGGAAGAAAUAUAAUAAGCAAUAAUACACAUAUUCCCUUACCUCUACUUCCUUCUCUGUUCACUAUUUUGUUCUUUGUAUUCUAUUAUGUUCUUUUCUCUGUUCGGAAUUCCCAAUUGGGUUUCCUUCCUUCAGCUUUAUCUUGGGUUCAAUUGGGAACCCUAUAUGACAUUUUUGUUCUAUCAGUUUAGGGUAUUUUACAAUAUACUUUAAAUGUAUUGAUAUUGAUAACCUAUUGUAAUCGCAUAGUGUUUGUUUCAUAUGGGACCUUGAAGUGGAGAAGCUGGUAUUCUGUGAAGUGGAGAAGCUGGUAUUCUGUGACCUUGAAGUGGAGAAGCUGUUAUUUUGUUUUCUAUCGUGCAGGAUCAAAAUUUUGAUGUAAGUCUUCUUUUCCAAGAACUCGUACUGGCUCCUUCAUAUUUGGCUAUUCAGCUGCACUCAUUUGCGGUAAUGAAGGGUAUGACAUGAUGAACAAGGGCAAUGUAUGGGCAUGGAAUUUUGUAGCAAUAUAUUUCUUAAUAUAUUACAUAUUCUUUCAGGUCUUUAUAUAUUUCUUUCCUUUUUUUCAGAUGUUGGUAUGUUACAAUGUUUAGUCUAUAUUUCAGAUGUUGGUAUGUUACAAUGUUUAGUCUAUAGACUUUUGUAUUCAUAUGCAAAGUUGCUCUAAUAAAUAAAACCGGGCUAUCCUUUUGUAAUUUGAAGAAUAAACACUUAUCUUAAAACUAGGUGUUAUCAAAUGAUUUGGAUUGGAAGUGACAUUAGUAAGAAUACUAUCUUCUAGAUAAAUAGUCUUUUCUUAUUGUCAAUGAUAAAGUGUUUUAGAUAUUGGGGUUAAAUAUUUUAUGUUUACACAGAUCUAUGAGAUAUAUUGGAAGCUUGAGUGUGGAAGUAAUAGACCAGUUUUUGACUAUCUAGAGUUACUAAAAGUGAAAAUAAUUUGUUUGCAUCGUUAUAAUCUUUGAGUUACAUACCACUAUAAUGUAAAAAUGUAAUAGAAUAUUUCACUUGAACUAGAUCUCAUUCUUGUGCUUUUUACUUAAUUUAUUUAUUGGUUUGUUAUAUUCCCUAUAGACAGUAUUUGAUUUUUAGCUAAUCCAAGGGUCUUCUUUCUCGUCCAGAUUGUAGGUAGUCAUCUUACUAAAGGUGAAAAUAAUUUGUUCAUUCUUGUGCUUUUUACUUAAUUUAUUUAUUGGUUUGUUAUAUUCCCUGCAGACAGUAUUUGAUUGUUAGCUAAUCCAAGGUUCUUCUUUGUCGUCCAGAUUGUAGGUUCAUCUUGUUCCUUAAAUAUUGCAAAUAUUGAGUUAUUUGAGGUUAAAUAUUGCUUUGGAUUUUAUUCCUUUUUAAUGUACUUGUUUAUUUUGGUCUUAAAGGUCAAAGUCACCGUACAAAUAAUGGCUUGUGUACAUAGUUUGCUUUGUCCCACAACCCUCUUCACAUUACUAUAUAGUCUUUACUUGUUUAUUUUGGUCUUAGAGGUCAAAGUCAUUGUACAAAUAAUGGCUUGUGUACAUAGUUUGUUUUGUCCCACAACCCUCUUCACAUUACUAUAUAGUCUUUACUUGUUUAUUUUGGUCUUAGAGGUCAAAGUCACUCUACAAAUAAUGGCUUGUGUACAUAGUUUGCUUUGUCCCACAACCCUCUUCACAUUACUCUAUAGUCUCUUCACAUUAGCAUGAACCAAAGGUCGUUGGAUCCAAACAUAGUCGCUGCCUAUGGCUUAGAGAAUAAGAAGGGAUUGAUGGGAUGUUAAAUGUUGAUCAUUGUAUUUGUGAUGGGAAUAUUGAAUUGCUAUUUCAUUAUGAUAUAUGUUUUUCAUGCUCUUUUCUGUGAUUAAUUUGUCCUAUCUUUUCAAUCAUCUGAAUCAACUUAGUUGUACUUCAAAAAUUUUGUAGUUUGAUGAGAUUGUUUUGUAUUAGCAGUGAGUAUUAUCUGAAUUGCAUUACUCUUGCAGUCUCACAUUCAUUAUUUAUACCUUAACCCCCCUUGUAUUUUUUAAAUGCAAAUAGAAUGAGUAAAUGAGUUAUUAAGGCCUUUAUAUGUUGAUGAAUUCUUUUUUAAGUAAAAUAUAAAGUUAAAGAAAUAGGAGUCCAAAUUGUAGUGCAGAUGGUUAAUGAUUUAUUGUUAUAAACUUACAUGUCAUCUACAUCUUCUUGAUCUUACUGGUAUUAUUGUAUUCUAAUUUCUGAAGAAGGAUGAAUAAAUACUAUAAAAUGGAAGUACUUGAGAAAGCUGAAAAGGACUUAGCAGCUGUGACAGAUCAGUAUGUGUCACGAUAAUGGAAUAAUAGGGCUUUAUGGAAUGACUAGUUUAUUCAAAGAAAUAGUUUCUAAGAGUAAGUUGUAGGUGUUUGGAAUGAAUGUGUAAGUUAUAGGUCUGACAUGUGUCUUUUCUUUUUCUUUCUUGAAUAUUUAGGAACUCUUAAUGUCCACCCUCUGUUGUAAUUUGGUAAUACUAGUGUAGAACAUUAUGAAAUAUGGAAUCAUUAAAAGGAUCUUGCAAUCUUGUAUGUUUUUCUCCUUGUUAUGUGAGACUGGUCACUUCCUUGAAACUUUUCUCCCUUCACUUCCUUAUAUCUUCUAACAACAUGACAAAGUUGUUCCUGUGCUCCCAACUGUUUUCAAUAGGGGCCAAAAUAGUUCUUUUCACAUGUCAUGGCAGUGCUACCAUGAUUUAGAUUUCAAAAUUCUAUUUCUACCACUAAAGCAACAUUGUUUAGGGUUUUUUUCGGAUACAACUACAGUUUCUCUACCAUUUUGUAUUACAUUUUUUGCUUAAUAGAUAUAGUAUUUGAAUCAGUUCCCUGUUUACCAUUCCAUGAAAAGGUACCUCUGUUUCUUUCCACUUUAUUACAAUUUUUUUUUCUUCAUGUGCUAUGUUCUUCCUGAUUCACACUGCAAACUUUUAUCUAAUUCAUCUUUUAUUUUAUUUUUUUUCAUUUUAUUACUAUGCUCUUAUGCCUGAUUGAUGGUAAUUGUGUGUAUAAACAAACUGAGACUAAUUAUUUAGUUUUCUUUUUUUUGUUUGAGUAUUCAUUUGUCUAAUAUAUGAACUAUUUGUUCGUAUUUAAAAUGAUGAUCAUUCUGCUAUAGUGAUUUCAGAGCUAGCCACUACAUGGCAUAUGAGAUCUAAAACUGUGGUUGCCACAUUGUUUACUCCCAAAAAAUUUCAGUACCAAUGUUCCUUCUAUCUGUGCUCCCUGCUUUUGUACCACCUUAUACCAACACUUGGAAAGACCAGUACAAUUGUUCCUUGUAUAUGCUUCCUUUUCCUGUAAAGGACCUGAAUCAUUUACACAUAGCUCUAGCACACCCUUGCCUAUGAAGAGAAAAUCUUCAAAAAAACAACCCUCUCCAGCACCUACUUGUCUGACCUGCAGACACACCAAGGCUGAGUAGCUCUAAAGGAUCUGAAUCAUUUACACAUAGUUCUAGCACACCCUUGCCUAUGAAGAGAAAAUCUUCAAAAAGAAAACCUCUCCAGCACCUACUUCUCUGACUUGCCCCUGCAUGAUCACAUCUGAAAGAUAUACUGACUUGCUUCUUCCUUCCUUGACCAAAAAAUGAGUACUAAGAUUCAUAUACUCAUUCAUACCAAUCUCCCAACAACAACUCAAACCCUUGUCAUAGAUUUUGCUCCAACCAAAGAGUGGACCUUAAAAUAAACCACUUCAAUAGUCUAGCUCCCACUCCUAUGCAAAUAUGAGGAGAACUUAGUCUGCAUACUGCAGAAACUACUAGGAUAUGUAGCAAUUUAAGCUCAUGCUAAACCAAAAGAGCAUCAGAGAAAAACCUUGCCUUUCAAGAAGGAACCAAUCUGAAAAAGAAACUUUUAGCCUUACAUAAGGCUGCUGCCAGUUCUUAAAAACUGUAGGCUUAUUGCUCUUGAUUCUGCUUAUUUUACUCUAAAUCAGAACAUCAUUCCAAUCUCAAAAAGACACUUUUAGCCUUACACAGGGCUGCUGCCAGUUCUUAGAAAACCGUAGGCUUAUUGCUCCUGAUUCUGCUUAGAUUACUCUAAAUCAGAAGAUCAUUCCAAUCUCAAAAAGACACUUUUAGCCUUACAUAAGCCUGUUUCCAGUUCUUAAAAAACUGUAGGCUUAUUGCUCUUGAUUGUUCUUAGAUUACUCUAAAUCAGAAUUCUUAGAUUGCUGUAAAUCAGAACAUCAUUCUAGUACGAUUAUACCACCUAGAUACCACCUUAUAGAAGGCUUAUUCUGCAUGCCUUCAAUGUGGUUCUGCUAUACCUCCUAGAUGGUUUAGGUAGCAGCUCAUCAACCUCUGACCACACCUUUUCCACCCUUAGCCACUCUAGUUUGUUUCUUGCAUCUCUAUCUUGUCAAAUUUCCUUACACCAAGUCCUCAUACCACACCUUUUCCACCCUUAACCACUCUAGUUUGUUUCUUGCAUCUCCAUCUUGUCAAAUUUCCUUACACCAAGUCCUCAGAGACUUGCAUCUCCAUCUUGUCAAAUUUCCUUACACCAAGUCCUUAGAGACUUCUUCAACUCAUAUUAUAGGAAUUUAUUCAAUAUUAUUGUUUUGUCCUUCGUAGGAGUAGUUUCAUAUUAAUAACUAAUAUAAAUUAUUAAUGUUAAUCUACCUGUGUGUAGUUGAGAAAAGAAGGUGUAGUUGAGAAAAGAAGAUAUUGAAGUUGGACUAUAGUUGAGAAAAGAAGGUGUAGUUGAGAAAAGAAGAUAUUGAAGUUGGACUGUAGUUGAGAAAAGAAGAUAUUGAAGCUGGAUUGUUCUUGAGAAAAAAAGAUAUUGAAGUUGGACUUUUGGUGAAGAUGAAAGUUGGGCCCAGAAAAGCAUGUGAGUAUGUUUAUAUCACAAUUUAUUUAUAUUAUAUUACAAUUUAUUUAUGUUGAUAGUAGUGAUUAGGCUAAGAGUUAGGUACUGCAGGUUAGAUUACAAAUUAAUUUUUUUAUGAACUAAGUUUAUUUUGUAGAGAAGUUCAUUUCAUUUUCUUUAAAUUUUUUUCCAUACAUACAGAAGUGUUCCUGAGAGAAUGUCAUCCUUCUUUGGGGUCUGAAGUCACAAGUUUCAUGUUUGAUGUUUGUUGUUGUGUGAUCAACUUCACCAGCUAAUAGCAAACAAGGAUGGAUAUAGUAGAAAUUCAUAAACCCUAACAUUAGGUAAGUGGAUGAAAAAUGAAACUGUAACACUAGGUCUGUAACACUGGAUAUAUGUUAAUGAAGGCACUGAUGUUAAAGAAAAUGAUCCCUUUCAGCCAAAUCGUUUUAGCGUUUUGAUUUAAAUAUUCUUAUGAUAUGUUAGUAGAAAUGAAAAUAUUAGUCUCAAUUAAUUAUCUUUAAUUAUCUUUAAUUACCUUUUAUCUGGGUCUAAUUAACAUAAGAAAUUUACAAAAUUUACAUCACACAAUCAUGGGCCCGUGUCUUAUUGUUUGUAAACAUUUGAAAGCAAGAAAACCAAACAAGUCAAUCCUAGUUUUGCUCUCAAGUUUUCAUCCACCUCAUGCACAACAACACAUUUACCAAAAUCUCCUAAAAUAAGGAAAUUCUAAACUCCAUCUUUGUGAUUUUAUUUUGUAAAUUUUGAAUAUACCCUAUUUUUUCCUACAAUAUUGUGAUGGCUAUUUAAAAAUUUAGAAACCAAAAAUGAAUUUCUUAGAUACAAAAACUUUUAAUAAUCACUUGAAACAAAUUUUGUAAAGAUGUAAAUCAAACAAAUUUUAUAUUUGUGGUAUAAAAUUCCUAUGCAGAUUUGCUAUAAAAUCAUUAUAAGCAUAAUUAAGAGCAAAUAAGGAAAUUUUUUAGAAUUAAUUUACUAUACAUUACAAUAUACAUUACAAUUUGAGAGUAUACAAUUUGGCAAUUGAUUGAUAUCAUUUAUCUAUUUUUCUUUCUCAACUUCUUUUAGUAGAUAUUAUCUCGAGCAAAUAUUUUCAGAAUAAACUAAUAUUUUUGUAUUAUAAUUUUGACUGUACUUUUAAAAUUGCAGGAUGUUGCUUUGAAGGUUUUGAACAGUUAAGGAUUUUUAUCAUAUCAGUUGAAAAAGAGGUAAGUCUUUCUGAAAUAGAUUAAAUAAGUAUAUUGAUAUGCUUAUCCAUUGCAAUUUAUUAAGAUCUACAUUAUUUUCACUAAUUGGUGACAUGUUGAACCUCUCUUAGUAGAAUAAGUGGGUCCAAAAUUUGAUUUAUUUUUUGUUUUUUUUGUUGUUUUGUAAUUGGUACUAAUUGAAAUUACAUACUACAUAGACCGACCUGUAGUUUAUGAUAAUUGUUUGGACCUGUAGUUUAUGAUAAUUGUUUGGAUCUGUAAUUUAUGAUAAUUGUUUGGACCUGUAACUUAUGAUAAUUGUUUGUUUAUAUCAUAAUGGAGAAAAGUAGAUUAGGAAGUGAUGGAUGUCCUGCAUAGAACUUAUAUAAGUAAUUGAUGUUGUCAUAUAAUGCAAUAAUUUAGGAAACUCUUUGUUAUUAAGAGAUAUCUUUAUAUUGGUUUAAGAGAUGCUUUGUUCAUAGAUAUAACCUUGAACAAGAUACAAGUCAACAUUUUUUAACACAAUUGAUUGUUACAUUACUUUCUAGUUCAGCUUAAAUACAAAUGUGAAAUAAUUUAUAAUACUCUUUUUUAAUACAUUAAAGGGCUAAAAGCAUAUUUGUGGCAACUUCAAUCUUUAGUUGUCAUUACUUCAGAACAUGGAAUGGUUUCAUGUAAAUUGUAGAUAGAUGCUAUAUUGGCAGAGGGGGUUUAAAAGAAAGUUUUGUGAAUGGGGUUGAAGAGUUUGUCAUUAAAGCUUGUCAAGAACACUCUUAUUUGAAUUAAAGGAAGCUUGGAUAUCCAUGCAAUAAAUGUGAAAGUACAAAGAUUUUUCCAAUUGAAAUGGUCAAGCUUCACCUCUAUAAAAACGGUUUCAUGUAUGAUUAUUAUGUUUGGAUUCAUCAUGGUGAACAAGUGCCACAUGUUAAUGACAAUCACGAUGACGUUUGUGUCUCAAGUAGUGAUGUACAUGUGGAUGAAAGUGAACAAUUUGUAGUAAUGCAAGACAUGGUGUAUGAUGCUCUUGGGCAACAUGAGAGAUUUGAACCAUCUAAUUUUAAUAACAAAGAGGAGCCUCCCAAUGAAGAAGCUCAAAGAUUUUAUGAUCUGUUGUUAGAGGCUAAUGAGCCAUUGUUUGAAGGGGCUGUAGAUUCUAAAUUAUCAAUGUGUAUGAAAUUGUUAGCUUGCAAGUCUAAUUGGAAUGUUCCUAACCAAUGCUUAGAUUUUAUCACAACAAUGUUGUCAGACGCUACACCAAUAAAAGAGGGUUUGCCAAAAAGUUAUUAUGAUGCUAAGAGGUUAGUGUCAAUGUUGGGGUUGAAGGCUAAGAGGAUAGAUUGUUGUGUAAAAGGUUGUAUGCUUUUUUAUGGCAAUGAAUAUGGGAAAAAUGAUGGACAACUAUUACAAUGUAAAUUUUGUCAUCAUGCACGGUAUCACGACUCAAAAGUUGGAAUAAGUAAAAGAAAACCAAUUUCUCUAAAAAGAUUGUUUGCAUCCAUGCAAACUACAGGAUAAAUGACAUGGCAUUAUGAUAAUAGAAGGCCUUUGGUGUGCUACGACAUCCCUCAGAUGGUGAAUUUUGGAAACAUUUUGAUCAAUUACGUCCUGAAAUUGCUGCUGAGCCACGUAAUAUACGACUUGGUUUAUGCUCUGAUGGAUUUAAUCCAUAUAUUUAAGCAUUAGCAAAACCUUACUCUUAUUGGCCAGUAAUUGUCACCCCAUAUAAUCUUCCUCCUGAAAUGUGUAUGUCUAAACCCUAUAUGUUUUUUAGUUGUCUCAUUCCCGGUCCACAUAAUCCUAAGGCUCGUAUCGAUGUUUAUUUAGAACCACUUAUCGAUGAUCUUAAAAAGUUGUGGAGUGGUGUUCAAACAUACGAUAUUUCAAGGAAGCAAAACUUUAUGAUGCGAGCAAGUCUAAUGUGGACAAUUAAUGACUUCCCUACAUAUGGCAUGUUGUCUGGUUGGGGGACUCAAGGUAAAUUGGCUUGCCUGUAUUGCAUGGAGCACACAAAGGCCUUUAGAUUAGAACAUGGAAAAAAAAAUAGUUGGUUUGACUCACACUGUAGGUUCUUGCCUAAUGAUCAUACAUUUAGGAGGAAUAAAAAGGCUUUCAAAAAGGACAAAGUUGAAAUGGGUGGACCACCACCUAUGUUGACAUCUGAAGAGGUUUGGAAUACAGUCAGGAAUCUACCAAUAGUCAUAGAUGAGCCUCACAUGUCCAAAUCACAAGGUUAUGGAGAGUGGCAUAAUUGGACAAAAAGAAGUAUCUUUUGGGAUCUUCCAUAUUGGAAAGAUAAUUUAUUGAGACACAAUCUUGAUGUUAUGCAUAUAGAGAAAAAUUUCUUCGACAAUAUAUUUAACACCGUCAUGGAUGUAAAAGGUAAAACAAAGGACAAUGAUAAGGAAAGAAAAGACCUAACAUUGCAUUGUAGGAGACCUGAUUUGGAGUUAAAGUUGCAGGCUAAUGGGAAGAUUCUAAAACCAAAAGCAAAUUACACUUUAACUACAGGGGAAUCAAAGUUAGUUUAUCAAUGGAUAAAAGAACUUCGUAUGCCUGAUGGUUAUUCUUCAAAUUUGGCAAGAUGUGUGGAUGUAGACAAGGGGAAGAUGAUUGGGAUGAAAAGUCAUGAUUGUCAUAUAUUCAUGGAGUGUUUACUUCCUAUUGCAUUUCAUUCAUUACCAGUGCAUGUUUUGAAUCCACUUAUCGAAGUUAGCCUUUUCUUCAAAGAUUUGUGCUCGGCAACAAUAAAGGAUCAUGACUUGGUUAGAAUGGAAGAAAAUAUUUCAAUGAUUCUUUGCAAGUUGGAGAGAGUAUUCCCCCUGCAUUCUUUGAUUCAAUGGAACACCUUCCAAUUCAUCUCGCAAAUGAAGCAAGACUUGGUGGACCAGUCCAAUAUAGAUGGAUGUAUCCAUUUGAAAGGUAUGAAAAAUAUUAUUGUUAUUAUGUCAAAAUACUUCAUUUAUUUGUUUAAAUCCAUCUCCAAUUUACUUAAUUAUAGGUUUUUGGGUGAUUCUAAACGCUCAGUGAAAAAUAAGGCUCAAGUUGAAGGAUCAAUUCUGCAUCUUACUUGCACCGAGAAACAAUUCACUUUUGUUCCCACUAUUCAAGAACUUCAUGUUGUCACCACGAAAUCGUAGAAAUGAAAUGCCUUGUGGAAUUGAAAGUUUUCCAUCAAUGUUAUCCAUCUUUAACCAUCCUGGUCAUUCUUCAGGAAAAAAGUUAAUCCAUUGGUUCAACCAUAAAGAAUGGAACUCUGUCCAUGUUCAUGUUUUGAUCAAUUGCAACGAAGUCAAACCAUACCUCGAGUGAGUAUAUCAAAUAAUUGGCUUCAAUUUUUGACAAAACUGAUCUUUUAAAUAAACCAUUCUUGAUUGUGUUAAUAUGUUUCACAGUUCAUUCUUGCAAUCUAAACAAAUAAGCUCAUCAAAUGCAUCAAAUGCAUCAAAUGAUAUACAUGCACAUUUCCCUUAAUGGUUUACGGGUCAGGUUUGAUAAAACUUAAUGUGAUUAAGUUAUGUGUUAUAGAACCUAAAAAAAUAUAUAUGUCAGUAUCUCUUUCCUUUGUAGGUUACAAGUGAGCCUUUAAAUGUUAGAAACAUACACUUAAGGGAAUUGUCAUAUGGCCCUUUCACAUGUGCUAAUGAAUGGCACACUUACUUCGUCAAUGGGUACAAAUUUCACACCCAGGCAUGGAGCAAGGGGAAAAAACAAUAAAUAGUGGUGUUUAUGUAAAGGGGCUCACGGAAGGAGGCCAUGAUGAUUUCUAUGGAAUCAUUAAACACAUAUAUGAGCUAGAGUACAAUUCUUCGAGCUCCCCGAAGAAAGUGGUGGUAUUUUAUUGUCAGUGGUUUGAUCCAUCACAUAGAGGUACAAUAGUGGAUCCUAAAUAUGGAAUUGUGGACAUUCACAUGGAGAAAAGGUAUUUACCCUUUGAUCCAUUUAUCCUUGCACAUAAUGUAAGACAAGUAUAUUAUGUCCCCUAUCCAACAUCAAGAAAGGAAAAAAAAAGUUGGUGUGUUGCAAUUAAAACAAAGCCCAAAGGUCGCAUUGAAUCUCUUGAUAUGGAAGAUGAUGUUCCUUACCAAAUAGAUGAAAUGUCACAUGUAAAUGAAGUAAUUGAAGUUGAAGGUAUUUCGGGAUUCCAACAUUUGCAGGUUCAUGAAGAAGUGGAAAAAGAUAAUGAAUUUCAAGAUUUUCAAGAAGUGGACAAUGAAGAGGAGUUUGAAGAUAGUGAAAUAGGGACACUGAAGAUGAUUAUACUGGAGAGGAUAGUGAAGAUGGGCAACUUGAACGAAAUGAUUCAAAAGAAGACAAUGAAGAACAUGAAUUUGAUGACGAUUGAAUUAUGUGUUAUGAUUACAUUAUGUGAUUGUUAGUGUUGCUAUUUUCUUGUUUAUGUAAUAACAUAAUGAUUCUUCUAUGAAGGAAAUUUUUAUUAUGUUGAGUGUGUUUUAAUUGCAGUAUGUUCCUUUCAUUUAUAAUUGAUAAUAUAAUUUUGUUGUUAUAGAUGUCUUCAGGAGGAUGUGACCAACCAAAACCUUACUUAUCUACUCAAAAUAAGGGAAAAGGGGUAAUGAAGCGUAAAAGGCCACGAUAUGUGCUUAAAGUAAAUAUCCCACCCCCACCAAAUGCACAUAUUGCACAUGUACCUUCCCCAUCCCCAACUUCUGCACAUACAUCUUCUCCUACCCCAAGUCACACACCUAUCUCAGAAAAUGUUGUACCUGCAGCUACAUCUUUCCCAUGUCCUAGGACAACAAACAUACCAUCUCAAUCAAGAAGAGACAUUUCUCCCACCACAUCUUCCCCAACCCCAGUUGUGGCAUCAACACCUUCUCCAUCAGGUACAGGACCCUCAACAUCAUCAUCACCAUUGCCAAGGGUUACACCAUUAUCAACACCCUCACCACUAUCAGUGCCUUCUAGAAUCAAUGAUUGUGCUAUUGGGGAAGGUGCACAGAUUUAUCUUGAUAGAGGUGAUGCAGAAUCAAACAUUGAGGAUGACACUCUUGGUCAUGCUCUUCCUAUGAUUUCACCUUAUGGUCAUGGGUAAGUAAUGACCAUAAAUAAAAUCUUUCACAUUAUUUCUUUUAUCAAUUUAUUAUCUAAUAAUUUCUUUAUUACUUGUUUUUUUAAGGUUUCAUCCAUGUAGGGUUUCAUCACAGGCAAUCACAUUCAUCAUUAAACAACAAUAUUGUCAGUCAUGGCUUACAUGGGGUUCAAUGACUGAUGAAGACAGAGAAAUCUUCUUCAAACGUUUUAAAGUAUUUUUUCUUAUAUUUAAUAUCAACAAUACUUGUUAUAUUAGACUUGUUGCAUUUAAUCAAAAUGUCUAUUUCUUUUGGUAUUGAGCAUUUUUCAUAAUUGAAUUCUCAGUUAUUAUUUCUUUAAAGUGUUCUAUUAAAAAAUUCUUCACAUUUUUAACCACAAAUUUUGUGUUUACAUAGAAAAAAGUCUGUUGGAAACCUGAAGAUGAGGAAAGGAUUAAAAAAAACUUCCACUCAAAAGCUGCACAUAUAGGUUAUCUGAAAUGUUCAUGGAAGCUAGAAAAAAUGGGAAAAAGCCUAUUUGGAUGUUUGAUGAUGUGUGGACUUCUUUGCUAUCCCAGUGGAAUUCACCUGACUUUCGAUCCAAGUGUAUUCAAAAUCAAAAAAAUCGAACAUCUGACACGGGUGGUUCUUUACACAGGUGGCUCUAUUAGUACACAUGAGCAUGUCAUUCGCAUGGUAUGUAUUCACGAAACAUAUAAGUUGCAUUGGAAUUUGUUUGUAAUUGGUUUUGAAUUAUGUUUUAUGAUUACAUACUUAUUCAGGAAACAUAUAAGUUGCAUUGGAUAUUGUUUCUAAUUGGUUUUGAAAUUAUGUUUUAUGAUUACGUAUUAUUCUAUUAUACAAUGUUUGAAGGUUAGAUAUUUGAUAAUAGUACAUUGGAUAAUAUCAAGUUUAAGAAGUGGGAUGAUAUUCUUUUGCAUAAGAAUAAUAUUAUUUAUGUUUGUUGUUUAUAGGCAAAACAGUUAGGUCGUCCUGCAUAUAUUGAUGAGGUAUUUAUGCAGACUCAUAUACGAAAAAGUAACGGUGAAUUUGUUGAUUAAAGAUCGAGACAUAUACACGUGAGUUAUAUUUUUUUGUUAUUUUUCUUUAUUUUAGUUACAUAUUGUACAUAUGACAUUAUUUUUGUGUAUCAAUAAUAGGAAGAAUUUCAUAGUAGACUUUCUCAAGUCAGAUCCAGAGGUUUGUAUAUUAGAAUCUGGAUCAUCCCCCAUAGAUUUUGCAGAGGAACACAAAAUUAGACUUGAAAGUUGGCUUCUUGCAGCAGGUGGCAAGAAGAAAGGUCGAAUCUACAGGGUUGGAGACUUGGCUCAUAACUUUAAACGUGUUAAUACUCUCACCUAUAAUCAACCUUCAACUUCCUUUGAAGAUUCACCAAGUGUUUUGUUGCUAAAGGAAGAAGUUCAAAAUUAUAAGGAACACAAUGAUAAACUCACCGAGCAUGUGAAAUCAUUGGUUAGUAUCAUUCUUCCUUUCCUUCCUCCUGAAGCACGAAGUUUCAUUGCACAACAAUCUCAACAAGUACUGUCGCCACAAGAACCACCAAGGCAAAAGGAACCUCCUACGCAACAACGACAUGACGAUAAUGAUUAUGCAGACUAUUAGGAUUAGGAUUAUGUUUGUAGUUUUUUUAACAACAAAUUACAUUACAAGUUCACUUGACUUUUGAAUUGGGAUCUUUAGUUAUGUUUCAAGUGGACUUGACUUUUAUAUUAUGUUAUAUAUCUUUGAAUUUGAAAUUAAAUAUAUGUUGGAUUAAAUUAUACAGGUUUUAAAAAAAAUCAUUCAUUUAAAUGCAUGAAACAUUUUCAUGGAUGUACCUACAAAUUUACCUACGGACUGUUGUUCAUGGGAAAUACAUACGGACUGUUGUUCAUAGGUAUUACCUACGGACUGUUGUUCAUGGGUAUUACCUACGGACUGCUGUUCAUGGGUAUUACCCACGAACUGCUAUUACCCACGGGUUCAUAUUUCGUAGGUAAAUUACCGACGCCAACAUUACAUACGAUUUUUUUUCCGUGGGAAAUCUGUAGGUAAUGCUGAUUUACCUACGGAUUUCUGCUGUUACAUACGGAUUUGGUCCGUAGGUAAAUCAGGUUUUUUUUUGUAGUGAAAGCUUAUAAAAAAUUUUGGUGCUGGAAGAGCUGUGAUGCAUCAGGGAUAUGAACAUACCUUCUACUUUAGAUAGCGAGCAAGAUGCAAUAGCAGUUAACAUCUUAAUAAGGGGUCUAGAAGAGGUCAAGAGGAUGUUAGAGGUAGAACAAACUAUCCAGGGUCUAUUUUUUGUUGUUGUAUUCCGUGGUUUUGUAGCGGAAAAUGAUGCAUUUUGGGGUUGAAGGCUUAUGUUUGUUGGUUAUGUUAAUGGUUCUUCAAUGUUAUAGGAUUAGUUUAUGUUUGGCUCAUGUCUAUGCUUAUGUGGUGUUAUAAGUUUGUGGUUAUCUAGAUAUGAAGGUGAGUGUAGUAUGAAUGAUGUACUAUUAGGAAUCUAAUAAAUUUAUAUCCAGUUGGAAUUCUGUUAGAUUGGGGUGUAAGGCUGAUAAACAGGUUGAAACUGUAAUUUCUUUUAUAGGAUUGAGACAAUUAAGAAGGAAUUCAUCUAAUUUAAUCAAUUUUUUAUUAAAAGAAAUAACUAACAUAUACUGCCUUGUUUUAUGCGGAUGGGUCUUGACAAUAAGUAACAUGUACUAUAAGAUAAUUUUAUUCGGAAGGGCAUAGUGAUAUUUAUUAUGACAACUAUUUAAACAUUCUUUUGAACCGAAAACGAAAAGAAUUGUAUAAAAUAUGUCAUCUAUAAUAAAUCAAAAUGGAGUUAGGCAAUUUGGAGGAAACAUUUCCUCAACACAAAAGUUUGAUAGAGUAUGGUUCCAUAUUUUAAAUUUAUUAUUUUUUAAAAGUUUUUGUGAAUUUAAAGUUUACUUUUUAAGGAAAAUGUUAUUUUUAUUGACAAUUGAAUUAAAAUAAUUUAAAUAAAUAUGUAUCUAGAGUAUUAUAAUUAAAGAUAAUAAUAAGGAAAGUAAUGAUUCAACUAAAUAAUUUAAUAUAAAAAAUAAUCCAGACCAUUAUAAUAUAGUGAAAUUUUAAAAGGUGAUAGUGAUACAACUUAUUUUUUAUUUAAUAAUGUAGUAUUAUUACAAUUGUUUUUAAAUUAUAUUUAGAUAACAAUUAUAUAUCAUCAUGUAUUUGGAAUAAAAAAGAUUUAUGUUCUUCCUAUUUUAAUUAGAAAAAAUGAUUGAAAAAUAAUAUCCCAAAUUAAUUAAAUAAAUAAAUUCUUCGAAUUGGAGUUAGAAAAGUGAUUGCUAAUACCCAAACGGGCGAAGUAAGGUUUGUUUCAUCAGAAUUCACUAUUUUUAAGAACAAUAUAACUUCUUAAGUGUGAAGUUCCGUACCACGCUAUAAAUAGAAAAACUCCCACAAAUUUAAUUCUCCUCAGUACAAAUUUUUGUGCCAGUGGAUAAAUCCACUAAAUCUACAAUUACAAAAUGUAAACAAAUAUUCCAGUAUUACACAACUGUGAUGGAGCUUCUAAAUUAAAAGUCUUUUUGACAGAUAAAAACUGAAAUGUAUUUUCACACACAAAAGAGUGGGUAAUAAAAAAUGUAUAAUCAAACAAAUGAUCCAAUGCAAUUUCAUGUGAAAAGAAAGUUCAAACACAUAUUAAGAGAACUAUCAAAUGCAAAGUCUUCAUUAAGAAAAAUACUUUCACAAAAAAAUAAAUGAAAACAAUAAACAUAGGGCUCGAAGGCUGAUCUGUCUCCUUAAUGCAUUCCUCUUCGUCUUGCUCUUCCUCUAAUUCUUCUCAGAAUCUGGUUCAUCAAUGUAAAUGUUUUUUAUGUGUGAUAUUUUGGGCCAAAACUCUCCAACAUGGGGUUGAUAUUUUUCACAUAAAUCAUGGCAACCUUCAAUGCACAAAGUUUCAAGUGCAGUGAGAUGAUGGAUGUUAUCUGGGAGAGAUACCAAAUUUGUACAAGGAAUUAUAGAAAGUGUUUUCAGAUUACUCAUAGUUCUAAACCAGUCUGGAAGUGUUUCAAUAUUGUCGCAACUUUCAAUUAUCAAGCACUGUAAGGAGUUGGCAAAUUCUUGAAGCCAUUUAGGCAAGGUCACCAGCUGUGAUAAAUUUGAAAAUAGAACAGUUUUUAACUUUAACUUGUGGUUUUGUUCUUCAAGGUGGUUGCCCUUCCACAGUUCCAAGUCCAAAUUACUGCAGGAAUUAACACUUAUUUCUUCUAAUUCAGGAAAUUUUUUACCAUCAAGCCGAAAAGACUUUAGACUCUUACAGUUACCAAUAUUCAAUGCUUUAAGAGCAGGGAAUUUCACAUCUCCGAAUAUAGACUCCAAAUUAGGACUUGAUUCAAUAGACAGAAAUGCAAGCAAGUCCAGACUAGCUAUCUCAUUCUCAGGCAAAAUAGAUUGCUUUGUGCAAAACUCUAAAUGCCUGAGACUGAUUAACUUUCUUAAUCCUAUUGGCAAUGCUUCAAGCUCUAUGCAUCCCUCAAGCCUUAACACUUGCAGAUUUUGGAGCUUGCAAAUAGACUCGGGGAGUCUCUUAAAGUUAAGAUUUUUGCCAAUGUCCAAAUAUCUCAAAUGUUUCAACUUAGCAAUGGUAUGGGGCAAAGUCUCGAUUGUCGAUCCCCAUAAAUCCAAAACUCGCAAAUAUUUGAAAUUUGACACACAAGUAUUUAUUAAAGCUUCACCGUUGGUUUCUUCUGUACCAUUUGGAAACAGUAUGGUUCUCACAGCUACUGAUUUUUUAUUGUAUAAGUUGGUAAACAAACUGCUUUCAGCAAAAGACAGAUGCCGAACAUUAUCUGGAAUAUUUUGAAUACUGGAACUUACAUGUAGACAUUCAUCCUUUGCAACAAAUAGAGCGAGAUCAUGCACCAAAUCAUGUAUUGUAAAACGAUAAACAGAGCCAAGUUUGUAAAAUCUUGAAGAAAAGAUCUUGACAAAAGUUCAUGCAAAUAUUGAUUGGCCACAUCUUCAAGGGUCUUGUUCUUUUUUGGUACUGCAAUGAGUCCAAGUGCCCCCCACAUUGAAGUUAUUUCAUAAUUAGCAAAUUUAUAGUCCUUUGGGUAAAGGGAAAAUAUAGCAAAACAUUGUCUCCAAUUUAUUUAUUUUUUUAUUUUUAUUUUUAUUUUUUUUAUCAGCAAUGAAUAAAUAAAAUUAAAGGGAUACUUCAGGGGUAUCCCAACCCAUAUACAGUAACCAGAAGUGGACUUCUUAUAUCAUCCACAAAAGAAACUCUCCUUUAUGGUUGGAGCAGAACAACCUUAAAGUGAGAAAACCAUACCCAAAAAUAUAACCAACAGGUUACCUCAAAGCAACAUUCAACUUUACCGAAACACCCAGAACCGAGGCCACCUACAUUCACCUCGCCACGCGACGAGUUACCCAUGCAUGUUGCAUAACUUCGGCGACCACCGACUACACACAUAUGGAGAACGCCGCUUCCUCGACCGGCGAUCAUGUUGACCUUUGCAUAACUUCGAUGACCACCGACUACGCACGCAUGGAGAUCGUCGUUUCAUCGACCGGCGAUCAUGUUGACCUUGUAUAACUUCGGCGACCACCGACUACACACAUAUGGAGAACGCCGCUUCAUCGAUCAGCGAUCAUGUUGACCUAUGGAGAAUGCCACUUCAUCAACCGGCGAUCAUGUUGACCUUUGCAUACCUUUGGCGACACCGACUACGCACGCAUGGAGAUCGUCGUUUCAUCGACCGGCGAUCAUGUUGACCUUUGCAUAACUUCGACGACCACCGACUACGCACGCAUGGAGAUCGCCGUUUCAUCGACCGGCGAUCAUGUUGACCUUGUAUAACUUCGGCGACCACCGACUACACACAUAUGGAGAACGCCGCUUCAUCGAUCGGCGAUCAUGUUGACCACGCCGCUUCAUCAAUCGGCGAUCAUGUUGACCUUUGCAUACCUUCGACGACCACCGACUACGCACGCAUGGAGAUCGUCGUUUCAUCGACCGGCGAUCAUGUUGACCUUGCAUAACUUCGGCGACCACCGACUACACACAUAUGGAGAACGCCGCAUCAUCGACCGGCGAUCAUGACAUCCUUCCCCAUUUAUUUGUAACUUCUAAUGCAGAUAAGGGGAUUCAGUAUCCAAUCUGUAGAAGAAUAGUUAAAAGAGGAGCCCCUGUGCUUUAGCCACUGCCAGGAUUUAAGCUGGACUUUCUGAACAAUCUCCUCCACAUCUACUUUCCCUUGACUAAAGACAACAGAAUUCCUUUGCUCCCAAAUACUUGCCACUGUAGUUGCCCACACUCCUUUCCAAAAGAGGUUUUGUCUACUACUAAGUUGGGGUAGGUAAAAGCUUUCAAAAUGAGAUAAGAUGGUAUUCUGCUGGACCGAAACAAUGCCGAUCCAUCUAAGACAUAACACCCACACCCUCUGAGCAGCAUCACAUUCAAUGACAUGUUUCCUCCUUUAACUCACACAUAGCGCAGAGAAUUGUAUUCAAGAUCACCCCUCUUCUGCUCAAAUUUUCUCUUGUAGGUAUUCUACCUAUAAGAACUCUCCAUGUUGUGGUUAACACACUGGGGAAGGUUUUGAUUUUCCAGAGAUAACUGAAUACAACAUUUUGGGAGCUUCUAACCGGGUGAGCUAUACAUUCAUACGCAGCGUUAACAGAAAAAAGCCCCGAAUCAUCGAACCUCCACACCCGAAUAUCUUCCUGAUCCCUUGAUAGCCUAACUCUUGAUAAGUGCAUAGCCAGAUCUGAUUCCAACAUGCUUUCCCACUCAAAUCUAGCUCUUCUCCAUCUAUGUUUCCAUUCCCAUAUUGAGUCUGCCCAAGAGCCAACCUCUUCCACUUUUUGGCCCUGGUUCAAAGAGAUUGAAUAGAGCCUAGGAAAAAAGGUUUUGAGACUACUAUUACCGGUCCAUGCAUCCUCCCAAAAUCUUACUUUGUCUCCACUUCCUACUUUCCAUACAAUUUGUUGAUUAAACCAACCUUCUCCUUCACCCUCCGUGCACACUUUAUGUAGGUCUCUCCACCAUCAGGAUUGGACUUUUAUUGGUGUUUGUCGGCAUUCUAGAUCCACCCCAUACUUGGAAACCAACAACUCCUUCCACCUCCCUUUCUCUUCAGAUAUCAAGCGCCACCUCCAUUUAGCCAGAAGAGCAUAGUUGAACUUCCUUAUAUCUCUGAUUCCCAACCCACCUUCCUCCUUUGGUUUAGACAGUACUUCCCAUCUUACCCAAGCAAUCGGUUUUUCCUCCUUCCCCCAACCCCAUAGGAACCUCCGUUGUAGGCUGAUUAUGCUUUUGCACACACAAUCCGGUGCUUUAUAAAGCGAAAGAUAAAAAAAAGGGACAUCAGUUAUAACUGAUUUGAUGAGACAAAUUCUCCCUGCCAAAGAUAGAAAUCUCCCUCUCCAUGCAUUGAGUCUGGCUCUCAGCUUACUUAGAACUGGCUCCCAGAAAGUAGUCUUUCUUGGAUUCCCCCCCACCUCCAAGCCCAGAUAUUUAAACGGGACUCUCAUCUGAUCACAAUUCAAUGUCUUUGCAUAGCUUACCAUGGCAUUUCGGUUAACAUUUACACCUGCAAUUCUGGAUUUAUGGAAGUUAAUCUUCAGACCUGAGGCUAGCUCAAACCCCCUAAGGAUUGCCUUAAUAGUGACCACAUUCCUAUUAGACUCCUCACAUAAGAAUAAGGUGUCAUCUGCAAACUGUAGAGAACAAAGUUCAACCUUCUCUCUUCCAAUCUUGACACCUGAUAGUAGGUUAGCCUUCUUUGCUUGCCUUACUAACCCGGCUAAACCCUCUACCACCACUAAGAAGAGAAAGGGGGCAAGGGGAUCUCCCUGCCUCAAGCCUCUUGUUGGCUUGAAUUCCUCUGUUGGGCUACCAUUCACAAGAACGGAUACUGAUGCAGAUUCCAGACAUCCACGCAUCCAAUCGACCCAUUUACUUUGGAAUCCUAACUUCAGGAGCAUAUCAUAGAGAAAUUCCCACCUAACUGAAUCAUAGGCCUUUUCAAAAUCCACCUUCAAGCACAACCCAGAUUUCCCACUCCUCCUCAGAUCCUCUACCACUUCAUUUGCCAUGAGAACACUAUCAAGUAUCCCUUUAUCUUUUAAAAACGAUGAUUGGCAGUCAUCAAUAACAGAGGGUGGCACUUUUUUAAUUCUGCCCGCCAACACCUUUGAUAUGACUUUAUAUAUAGCCCCCACUAGAGAUAUUGGUCUAUAAUGUUCUAGCUUAGAGGGAUCCCUUACUUUUGGUACCAGUGCUAUAAAUGAUGCAUUACACCCAUUUGGUAUAUAACCUGUAUCAUGGAACACAGCCAAGGCUGUAACUAGCUCAUCUUUGAUAUAGUCCCAGCUUUUUUUUAAUGAAAUUGAAGUUGAAACCAUCCCGGCCAGGACUCUUAGAUCCUUCGCACUGCCACACCGCUUCCUUGAUUUCCUCCUCUGAAAACGUUGCCAUAAGAGACUGGUUUUCCUCCUGGUUUAGUCUUUUAAAUUCCAUUGCAUCAAGCCGCACCCCCAGGUCCUUUGUUGCUUUAAAUCUAUUCUCAAACAACUUCUUUCCUUCUAUUCGAACCGUGCAAGGUUCCUCACACCAUUGACCCCCAAUCUCCACACCCUUGAGUUCAUUUCUAUGUCUUCUCCAUUUAAUGGAUGAAUGAUAGAAUUUGGUGCAAGCGUCCCCGAAUUUCAGCCAAUUCAUUCUAGCCUUUUGACUUACAAGUGAGUCAAUUUUCGGACAACAUUGAGGUCCUGGCAGUCCAAGCUUUCAAUUUCUUGUAUGAUGGCUCUCCUCCUGGUAUGUAAGUUUCCAUACACAUCUCUAUUCCAUACCUUGAGGUCUCCCUUUAGCCUUUUCAGUUUGUCCUUGAGCUUUGUUAUUUCAUUCCCCUGAACAACAUAUGACUGCCACAUUUCCUUCACCAUCCCAGUGAACCCCCUCUCCAUAUGCCAUGCAUCAAUGGUUCUAAACGGUCUAGGCCCCCAGUCCUUGUCGACCGAUUUAACCACAAUGGCGCAAUGGUCCGACACUUCCCUCCACUGUAUAUACUGCUUGCUACUUGGCCAUACCUGUAGCCACUCCUCAGAUACAAGAAUUCUAUCCAACCUACUUUUUGCCGAGCCAUUUGCUUUAAACCAGGUGUAUUUUUUCCCUACUAGAGGCAGAUCUGAUAACAAAUUUGUCUCAAUGAAAUUUUUGAAACCGUAGGUCUCCCUAGAGCACCCAACGCUUCCAUAUAUACUCUUCCUCUCACUUCUGGUUCUAACUGCAUUAAAAUCCCCGCAAAAACACCAUAACAGAUCCUGUGAUGCUGCUUUAAUGUUAGAUAACUCCUCCCAUAGCCUCUCCUUAUCUGUGUAUGUACAAGCAGCAUAGACAUUUACAAUUACGCAUCUCAGAUCAGAUCUAAGGAGUUUCCCGAAAAAAGCAAUGAACCUUUUUCCCAUGACAUGACUCUCAUAACCAAGCACAGACUUCUUCCACAUAGUCAAUAGACUACCUCCUCCAUUUUCCCCUUCAUUGUGUAUCCACCCCACCUCAUUAUCCCCCCAUAACGCAAAGCAUCUAGCAUCAGAAAAUAUAGUGGUCUUUGUUUCUUGUAUGCAAACAAUUUCUGCUCCCUCACCCGCAAUAACUUGCCUCAGGUAUCUGGCUUUGGUUCCUCCCCCCAGACCUCUAAUAUUUAGAUUAAAGAUCAACAUAAAAACCAGGCUUCUUCCCCUCCUCAAACCUCUGCAUACACUCCGCGUCUCUCAUUUCCAUACACUUAUAUUCCUUAACCACCUCUACUUCUUCUCUUUUGCAAGCAACACCCAUACGUUUACCCACUUCCCAUAGCAUACCUGAUUCCUCCACAACUUCCAGAUCGCAUAUCCGGACGUUACAAUUAAAGAUGUCUCCAUCAGAGAUUGUUGUUGUAGGCGUUUCAGCUGAGUAAGAAGAAUUCCUUAACCAAGCAGCUCUGUCACUUAUUCUUAUCGAACGCCUGGGAUGGGUGCUUGGUUCUCCCAAUUCCCACAGCCCUUUCUUCUUACUUUUACGAGGUGUGGACUUAUUCACGAAGCCCCUUACCAUUAGCUCUUCGCCACUAUCCCUCUUUCUUUGUGCAACUUUACUCCCCUCUUCAAGCUCCUGCCAUACCAGUUCUUCUACCUGACUUCUAAGGGGCGCAUCGGAGUCAAAGAUCUCUCUCUCUUGCAGAUUACCCCCUCCACACCCUUCCUCAUGGGCUGGGCCUUGAUCUUGGCUUUCCUUCAACUGGGCUGACUGGUUGCCAUGGUGGCCCAACGAAAUAAAAGGUGUGUAAAGAAAAUUACUAUGCUCCACGUCCACCACUAUCCUCGCCAGAUCAUCAUGUUUAGGACAGCUAUAACCUUCCACUUUAUCAAAUACCCACGCUGACAAGUUGACUAAAAUCAACUCUUCUGAACCCUUGUGGAUCUCCUUUUCCUCAUUCGUGAAACUCUGACACACUUUAAGCCGACCUACUAUUCCUUUUGUCAUAGACUCCCCAGAACCGGACAUUUUUGUCUCUUGCGAGGCCUGGUCCCCACCUUCGUUCUCCUCCCCCUUCUGCCACGUAGCCCCUCCGUCGCACCGCUACACCUCCUCCUCACAGCUAUUGACCGACAACUCUGUCUCUUCUACGUAGGUGUCCACCGAAGAUACACUAUCGGAGGAGCCAAACUCAUAAGCACUACACUUACACGGAUUUCCCUUGGCGCUUGGGUUUUCUUCUUCAAUAAAAAUGCUAUAAAUUUUAUUGUUAAUCCUCAUGUCUUUCUUCAACCUUGCAUUACAAUUUUUCAGAAUCCUGACUUGGAACCUAGCGAAUUCUAAAUUCUCCCAUACCAGCGUUGAGUUGUCUACAGACACCAGAGUUUCCAUUUCUCCUACUACUUUGGCAAAACAAUCCUCAUUCCACAGGGAGAAGGGCAAGCCAUAGCAUCUGACCCAUACUAGUUUAUGAUCCGCCACAUGAUUCUCAGACCACGGUUUUAUAUAAUCAAAGAUGCUAUCGAACCAUUCCUUGUUGAGGUUAAAAAGAGCCUCCAUGCUUUCCUCUACUCUUGGAGUGAUUAGGGUCAAUCUAUCACCCAUAUACCUCAACCUGACCAUGUCCAUACCUCCCUUCACAAACUCCUCUUCCAGAUGGGCAAAGUCUAACUCUGCAUUAAACUGGCCAAUUGAGCUUUUUUCCAGCCACGGUAAAGACUGUUGAUGUGUCUUAAAAACUGGUCCUUUCCAUUGCUGUUGAGAGCCUCCAACAACUGCUUCAACAAAGGAUUUCUUUCGAGCUUUUUCCACCCAGACCUCCUUCUUUAUUGAUGACCCAGUUACCCCUAGACCUAUCACACUUUGCUUCCUUGUUUCUUUUGGCAACUCCAGUUGUUGCUUCAAGUCUUCCUUCCUCUGCUCCCUUCCAUCUUCUACCCCAUUCCUUGGGUACCUCGGAACAUUAACGUGCAGCUUCAGAUUUCCUAUAUAAAUUUGGUCAAGUUCCUUCUCCAAUCUCCCAACGUUUCUCACCUCAAAAAAUCUCACAAAAUGUAUAUACACUACAAGAAAAAUCCAAUUUAUCUACGGACAAAAUCCGUAGGUAACAGCCAAAAUCCGUAGGUAAAUCAACAUUACCUACGGAUUAUCCACGAAAAAAAAUCUGUAUGUAAUGUUGGCGUCGGUAAUUUACCUACGGAUAUUAGGUCCGUGGGUAACGAAAACAGCAUUACCCACCAACUGCAGUCCGUAGGUAAUACCCACUGACUCCAAGUCCGUAGGUAAUGUUAAUAUACUUUAUUUUUAAAAUUUUAAUUAUUAUUUGAAUCUUUUUUUUUAUUUUCAAUUAUUAUAUAUGUCAUGGCAAUUAUAAUUAAUGUUAGAACUAAACUGCAGCAGGUGGGACUCGAAGCCAAGUCCCUUGAGAUAUGUCCAUAGAAGCUUUAACCACUACACCAGUCAAGUUUUGUUGUCAUGUUGUGAUUAUUAUUAUAUUUAUAAGUAUGAUUAUCAAUAUUAAUAUAAUUAAUAAAAUAAAAAUUAAUAAAAUUCUUCAUAUAUUAAAUAUCAUCAUUAUUAUUAAUAUUAUUAAUAUUGUUUAAUAUUAUUAAAUAUUAUUAAUAUUAUUAAAUAUUAUUAAUAUUAUUAAUAUUAUUAAUAUUAUUAAAUAUUACUAAUAUUAUUUAAAUUAUUAUAUUAAUAUUAAUAAUAGGUAUAAAUUAGUUAUGGUUAUUAUUAUUUAUGAAUAUGAAUUAUGUUUUUAUAAUUUUUCAUAUUAUAUUAAUGUUUUUAAUAUUAUGUAUAUAAUUAUUAUGAUAAUAGUUGGUAGGUAAUAGAGAUCAGUGGGUGAUAGUUCGUAGGUAAUAGAGAUUUGUGAGUAAUAGUUGGUAGGUAAUAGAGAUCCGUAGGUAAAAGUUGGUAGGUAAUAAGAUCCGUAGGUAAUAGUUGGUAGGUAAUGUUGAAUUUACCUACGGAUUCAAAAUUCGUGGGUAAUAGUUCGUAGGUAAUGCUGAAUUUACCUACGGAUUCAGAAUCUGUAGGUAAUGUUGUUCGUAGGUAAUAUCCGUAGGUAAUGCUGAAUUUACCUACAGACUCAGAUCCGUGGGUAAAAAUCCAUAGAUAAUACUGAUUUUUUUUGUAGUGAUACUGGAUCCUGGCUUUGUUCAAUGACCCGCAAUAACUUUCCAAUAUGAUGGCAUAAGAUCAUAACUUAAUUUAAGGGCAGGUAAAAUGUCAUCUUUUUUCUGAGGCAAAUUCCAAAUUUCAUUGUCUCGCACAUAUUCCCAUUCACUGGCCUCAAAUUUCGAGAAUAUUAAACUCCCUAAUGUUCUCACUGCCAAUGGGACCCCUCUGCAUUUUUUCACAAUUUCUCUCCCAAUAUUUACUAAGUGAGGAUUAUUUUCCUCUUCUCCUUUUUUAAAUGCCCACUUGACAAAGAGAGACAAUGAAUCCUCCUCAAAAAGAUAUUCUAAAAUGUGAGAGGGAACAGUGCCCAUCAUGGAAGCAAUUGAAUGACUACGUGUGGUCACAAGGAUUUUACUUCCUGCUGCAUUUAACACGGUCUUCGUUCCAUACAUCGUCUAAGACGAGUAAGAAUUUUUGGCCGGAAAGUUUGUUUUUCAGUUGAUUUUGCAAUUGCUCCAGAUCCAACAUGUUCAAAUUCUGUUGGUGAGGAGGAGCAUCCUGAUCAUUUGCAGAAUUGAUGAUUUUGAUAAUCAGUUGUUUAAUGUCAAAGUCAUCAGAAACACAGACCCACAUCUUCAUUGGAAAACACUCCUGGAUCCUGCUGUCAUUGAACACAAACUUUGCAAGCGUAGUCUUUCCCAAGCCUCCAAUUCCCACAAUGGGAAUAACAGAAACACUUGUAUCAUCAUCAUUAGAAUUUUGUAGCAUCAAAAGAUCUAUGAUCUUUUCUUUAUCGUGUUUCCUUCCUAUCACAUCUGAAUCACUCACACGGGAAUGUGUCAUAUCUCUCCGAUGCACAACACGUGUGUCAACAUCAAUUAUUUGAAGACUAAACUUGUGUCUAUCAGCUGCAACCUUGUCUAGUCUGUUGCUGAUAUCUUUAAUUUGUUGAGCCAUUUUGUAACGAAAGAGAAGUGGAUUAGAGCUUGAGAAGAAGUGACUUACCUUGUCAUUGGUGGUACCACGAGCUGUGACCAGUUUUUUUCGCAGUGUUUGGCACUCAAAUUCAUCCAAAAGAUCUUCGGCAUCGGAGAAAACAGUUUUGAGCUGAGCUAGCCACUCGCGCAGCUGAUGGUUGUGCUCCUGCUUUUGCUGAGCAUCUAACAGUACAGCACAGCCUUGACUAAAGAGAGAGUCUUUGUAAGAUCUCGAAGAUUGUCAUAUAAACCCACCAAUCGAGCAGCUUCUUGAAAAGCAUGAGAAGCAAUCUUUGCUAUGAGUGACUCUGCGAUGCUGAAGAGAAAUGACUCGGCCAUAAUUGUCUAAAAUGCUAACAGCAAAGGAGAGGAGAGGAUGAGAUGGGAAGGCAAAACAAAGUCAUCAUUGUUGAUGAGAGAGUAUUUGCCCAAUGGAUUGCAGAAUUGUUCAAUAAGUAAUACCACUUGCUUUGCUACUAUCUUUUUUAUAUAUAAUGUCGAAAGAGGAAGAAGACUAUGAAGUAUUAAAUAUUUUUCUUCCAGGUCAGAACAUGCCCAAUGGAUUCCCGAACUGCUCAAUAAACCAACAAUGCCACUUGCUACCAUUAUUUAGACUACGAAGUAUUAAAUAUUUUUCUUCCACGUCACAACAUGCCAUUUUCCACACUCAGAAAAAGGGAAAAAAACUGGGGAAAGAAAUUUGCUUAAAAGCCAAUGCAAUAGUUAAGUAGUUUUUCUUACGCAUAAGAAAAUAUGUUUUG